rnacentral:lncRNA from 1 species
UCGCUGCUUGCUUCAUUUUUGUAUGUUUUCUCUGCUUUCUCGCGAUGUGCUGGUCGUGUUGACGUGACUAUGUGUGGUUUGUUUUGUUUGGGUCGGCGGUAGCUGUGGUACUCUUUGUCUUUGGAUGCUCUUCAUCCGCUCCAUCUUAGGAAAAGGUGGUAUGAUUGUAUCAAGUGUGUUGUUCUAGGUGAUGAAUCUGUGUUAGAUUGUUGUGGGUCAGUUUGUCGUUCACAGUGUCUUCAAAAUAUGUCUUUUUUUUGGUAUGAAUUGUGUGCGCAGUUAACUGAUCUGUACUAUGAGUGUCCGAUCUGUGAUUUAAAUCACGCAUGUAACUGAUAUGUACUAUGAGUGUCAUUCUGUAUGCUUAUGAGUAUCAUUCCAUAUACUUGUACACUUCUUGCCCCCCUUGGGUGAGACAGCAAAAGAGAUCUAUACUGUGAGCAUCAUCCUAUAUACUUACGAGUAGCAUUCCAUAUACUUGUACACUUCAUGCCCCCCAUUAGGAAGAAAUCAUACCAUGAGCAUCAUUCUAUAUACUUAGAGCAUCUUUAGCAGUCUCCUAAACCAUAUAUUUUCAUAAAACAUAUCCUAUAUACUUAAAAGAGUCAGCCCCACUAACUUAUUUAUCUCGACAUUCAAGUAUGUCACAUCUUCAUAUAAUUAUGGAUAAGAUAGGACCCACCUCAACAUGCAACAUGCAAGGGUGCACUGAAAAAGAUUCACCACCACAUGCAACUGUGCAUUGAAAAAGAUUCACCACCACGUGCAACUAUACAUGAGAAAAUAUUUUUCAUUCUAUUAUUCUACUUAUAUUCCAACAAAUAUUUUACAACUAUAUACAUAAUCAAAUAUAAUAAGCUUUAUGUAUUUUUCAUUUUGAUUCACAUGUUAUUAAUCUAAAUAUUUACAUUCCACACAAUAAAAUCUCAUCGAAAUAUAUUAUAAGCGGUUCUCACAGCAAUGCGCAGGCUUAGUUUGAGGGAUUAAGGACUAUUUAGGAGAUUAUUACUCAAACCGUCUUUCACAAAAUUAUAAGGAAAACUCGGCUAAGGAAAACUCGCCUAAAACGCAGUCGUUCCGCCUACUUUGACUCCAACCACAACAAGUCGCAGCCUCGCCGGAACGAAAUUGGUAUCGCUGGGGAAGACGAAAUUAGCAUCGCUGUGGAAGAGCGCCUACACGUCGUGGACGUCGUCCAGGGUGAGCUCCACCUUGCGGUGCAUGGCUUGGGGCUCAGGUGCAUGGCUUACCGAUCUCAUGUGUGUGUGGCCAUUGACUCGAGGUCCAUGACGCCAUUGAGGUUGUGGAGGACGGCCCAUCGCUCAUAGGCUGGCUCGAGGUCGCUUGUACAAACUGAAAUUUGGUCGACCGAGGUGUCAUAUCUUGUGGGCGUGUUGUAACGGUUUUCAGCCGGAUUUCUGCAAAUUAACAGGGCAACUCUUUUCUACUUUUUUUAAUGAAUCGGAGUUUUAAGGGAAACGACUUCGGAAGAAAAAUUAUGCUGCUCUGACUGUUGAGAGGUAAAUGUUUCACUGAAUUUUGCUGCUACUAGUGAAUGUUGUGUUGAAUAUAACACAUUUGCGAUUUUCAAACGAGCUUAUGUAAAAACACACCCUGCGAACAUCUCGAGGCGCUUGGCCUUCCUCACUGGCGCAGCCUGGGUGCUCGAUAAAUUGAAUGAACAAAUGUCAAUUUUAGGGGAUUAAGUUCUACAGGAUCUGCUAGAUAAGCAAACAUCAUUUCCCUAAAUAUUUUUUUAGGGAAAUGGGACAGGGAUAAUAUUUUGCACUUUUAGGAUAUGGGACCUACUACAGAUACUCUUAUAGUACAUUUCAGAGAACGGAAACCAAAUCGAGUCCUUGUAGCAAGGAUGACAAUGGCCACUGAGGACUACAUGUGGCGCUUAAGCCUGACGGGAAGGCAAGAAAAGGGAUGGACACAAUGAAGCGAUUGAUGUGGGUGAAAUUGGCAUUAUCACUAGGGGCGUCUGUGGAGACGAAGGGCGGGCAAUUGGGGGAGGUGAGGCAUCGCUUGAUCGAUAAACAUAGGAGGGUGAGGACGAAUGAACGCAAGUUGAGAGGAGAUCAUGCAGGGGUGCACGGAGUUGACAUACGGAGGGGAGCGGGGACAUCCAUGACAGUGGCAGGGCUAAUGCGGGCAUCGCAACGAGGGCAAACCAUAAGAUGCUCGGGAGGGUGAAAGCUAUUGGAGUGCGGUGGUGUAGAUCGAUAGAGAUGGGGAGGAGAAGGGGAAGCAUGGUGCUAAGAUAAAGUAAGAGAGUGAGGUGGAACAUUUUCGUCGCCUCAAGCCUAGNNNNNNNNNNNNNNNNNNNNNNNNNNNNNNNNNNNNNNNNNNNNNNNNNNNNNNNNNNNNNNNNNNNNNNNNNNNNNNNNNNNNNNNNNNNNNNNNNNNNNNNNNNNNNNNNNNNNNNNNNNNNNNNNNNNNNNNNNNNNNNNNNNNNNNNNNNNNNNNNNNNNNNNNNNNNNNNNNNNNNNNNNNNNNNNNNNNNNNNNNNNNNNNNNNNNNNNNNNNNNNNNNNNNNNNNNNNNNNNNNNNNNNNNNNNNNNNNNNNNNNNNNNNNNNNNNNNNNNNNNNNNNNNNNNNNNNNNNNNNNNNNNNNNNNNNNNNNNNNNNNNNNNNNNNNNNNNNNNNNNNNNNNNNNNNNNNNNNNNNNNNNNNNNNNNNNNNNNNNNNNNNCCAGUGACAAUGAGAGAACCACUUCACUCUAUCCAGGUCUAGGUCACUGACAAUCUAGUUGCCACAAAUGCGUCUCACCGGGAAGCAUCGAGUGUGUGUCCCUUAAGCAUGGCAUCACUACUAGGGAAAAGCCUAGCAGUAGCGCGGGUUAUAGAUAUAGCAGUAGCGCGGGGUCCCGCGCUACUGAUACGGCGCUACAGCUAACCUGUAGCAGCAACGUGAAGGAAAUAUGCCCUAGAGGCAAUAAUAAAGUUGUUAUUUAUAUUUACUUAUAUCAUGAUAAAUGUUUAUUAUUCAUGCUAGAAUUGUAUUAAUCGGAAACUUAGUACAUGUGUGAAUACAUAGACAAACAGAGUGUCACUAGUUUGCCUCUACUUGACUAGCUCGUUGAAUCAAUGAUGGUUAUGUUUCCUAACCAUAGACAUGAGUUGUCAUUUGAUUAACGGGAUCACAUCAUUAGAGAAUGAUGUGAUUGACUUGACCCAUCCGUUAGCUUAGCACGAUGAUCGUUUAGUUUGUUGCUAUUGCUUUCUCCAUAACUAUACAUGUUCCUAUGACUAUGAGAUCAUGCAUCUCCCGAAUACCGGGGAACACAUUGUGUGCUACCAAACGUCACAACGUAACUGGGUGGUUAUAAAGGUGCUCUAUAGGUGUCUCCGAUGGUAUUUGUUGAGUUGGCAUGGAUCAAGAUUAGGAUUUGUCACUCCGAUUGUCGGAGAGGUAUCUCUGGGCCCUCUCGGUAAUGUACAUCACAAUAAACCUUGCAACCAAUGUAGCUAAUGAGUUGGUUACGGGAUGUAGCAUUACAGAACGAGUAAAGAGACUUGCCGGUAACGAGAUUGAACUAGGUAUUGAGAUACCGACGAUCGAAUCUCGGGCAAGUAACAUACGGAUGACAAAGGGAAUAACGUAUGUUGUUAUGCGGUUUGACCGAUAAAGAUCUUCAUAGAAUAUGUAGGAACCAAUAUGAGCAUCCAGGUUCCACUAUGGUUAUUGACUGGAGAUGAGUCUCGGUCAUGUCUACAUAGUUCUCAAACCCGUAGGGUCCGCAGGCUUAACAUUCGGUGAUGAUCGGUAUUAUGAGUUUAUGUGUUUUGAUGUACCGAAGGUAGUUCGGAGUCCCAGAUUUGAUCACGGACAUGAAGAGGAGUCUCGAAAUGGUAAAGACGUAAAGAUCAAUAUAUUGAAAGCCUAUGUUUGGACAUCGGAAUGGUUUCGGGUGAAAACGGGAGUAUACCGGAGCUCCGGGAGGUUACCGGAACCCCCCGGGAGGUAUAUGGGCCUUAUUGGGCCUUAGUGGGAGAGAGGGGAAAGGAGCAAAGGAGCCCCCCCCCCCCAAUCCCAAUCCGAAUUGGGAGGCCCCCCCUUUCCUUCCUUCUCUCCUAAAUCCAACAAGGCAAGGGGGGAAUCCUACUCCCGGUGGGAGUAGGACUCCCCUUGGGGCACGCCUAGGAGGCCGGCCCCCUCCCCCUCCUCCACUCCUUUAUAUACGGGGGAGGGAGGCACCCCAUGGACACACAGGUUGAACAUUGAUCUUUUAGUUGUGUGCGGUGCCCCCCUCCACCAUAAUCCACCUCGGUAAUAUCGUAGCGGUGCUUAGGCGAAGCCCUGUUCCGGUAGCAACAUCAUCACCGUCAUCACGCCGUCGUGUUGACGAAACUCUCCCUCGAAGCUCUACUGGAUCGUGAGUUCGCGGGACGUCACCGAGCCGAACGUGUGCAGAUCGCGGAGGUGCCAUACCUUCAUGCUAGAUCAGUCGAUCGUGAAGACGUACGACUACAUCAACCGCGUUGUCAUAACACUUCCGCUUACGGUCUAUGAGGGUACAUAGACGAUACUCUCCCCUCUCGUUGCUGUGCAUCACCAUGAUCUUGCGUGUGCGUAGGAAUUUUUUUGAAAUUACUGCGUUCCUCGACAGUGGCAUCCGAGCCAGGUCUAUGCGUAGAUGUUAUAUGCACAAGUAGAACACAAAGGAGUUGUGGGCGUGGGUAUAUACAUAUUUAUUGGCGUCACUAGUUGAUUCUUGAUUCGGCGGUAUUGUUGGAUGAAGCGGCUCAGACCGACAUUACGCAUACGCUUACGCGAGACUGGUUCUACCGACGUGCUUCACACACAGGUGGCUAGUGGGUGUCUGUUUCUCCAAUUUUAGUUGAAUCAGAUUCAAUGAACAGGGUUCUUUCUAUAGAUCAAAAAGCAAUCACUAUACCGCGUUAUGAUUUUUUGAUGCGUAGGUAAGAACGGUUCUUGCUAAGCCCGUAGCAGGCACAUAAAACUUGCAACAACAAAGUAGAGGACGUCUAACUUGUUUUUGCAGGGCAUGUUGUGAUGUGAUAUGGUCAAGACAUGAUGAGAUAUAAAUUGUUGUAUGAGAUGAUCAUGUUUUGUUAAAGUUAUCGAAAACUGGCAGGAGCCUUAUGGUUGUCUCUUUAUUUCAUAAGAUGCCAACGCCGUAUAAUUGCUUUACUUUAUCGUUGUGCGAUAGCAAUAGUUGCAAAAGCAAUAGUUGAUGACACGUUGAUAGAGAUCAUGAUGAUGGAGAUCAUGGUGUCAUGCCAGCAACGAUAGAGAUCAUGACGGUGUUUUAGAGAUGGAGAUCAAAGGCACAAGAUGAUGAUGGCCGUAUCAUGUCACAUAUUUUGAUUGCAUGUGAUGUUUAUCCUUUAUGUAUCUUAUUUUGCUUAGUUCGGCAGUAGCAUUAUAAGAUGAUCUCUCACUAAAUUUCAAGGUAUAAGUGUUCUCCCUGAGUAUGCACCGUUGUGACAGUUCGUCGUGCCGAGACACCACGUGAUGAUCGGGUGUGAUAAGCUCUACGUUCACAUACAACGGGUGCAAACCAGUUUUGCACACGCGGAAUACUCGGGUUAAACUUGACGAGCCUAGCAUAUGCAGAUAUGGCCUCGGAACACUGGAGACCGAAAGGUCGAGCGUGAAUCAUAUAGUAGAUAUGAUCAACAUAGUGAUGUUCACCAUGGAAAACUACUCCAUCUCACGUGAUGAUCGGACAUGUUUUAGUUGAUUUGGAUCACGUGAUUAUUUAGAUGACUAGAGGGAUGUCUAUCUAAGUGGGAGUUGUUAAGUAAUAUGAUGAAUUGAACUUUAAUUUAUCAUCAACUUAGUCCUGAUAGUAUUUGCAUAACUAUGUUCUAGAUCAAUAGCUUGCGCUGUAGCUCCCCGUUUAUUUUUUGAUAUGUUCCUAGAGAAAAACUAUGUUGAAUAAUGAUAGUAGCAAUGAUGUGGACUAGAUCCGUGAUCUGAGGAUUAUCCUCAUUGCUGCAAAAAAGAAUUAUGACCUUGAUGCACCGCUAGGUGACGGACCUAUUGUAGGAGCAGAGGCAAACGUUAUGAACAUUUGACAAAGCUCGGUAUGAUGACUACUUAACAGUUUAGUGCACCAUACUUUACGGCUUAGAACCGGGACUUUAAAAAUGUUUUUGAACGCCACGGAGCAUAUAAGAUGUUCUAAGAGUUGAAGUUGGUAUUUCAUACUCAUCCCCGUGUCGAGAGGUAGGAGACCUCUGACAGUACUUUGCCUACAAGAUGGAGGAGAAUAGCUCAACCAGUGAGCAUGUGCUUAGAUUGUCUGGGUACUACAAUUGCUUGAAUAAAGUGGGAGUUAAUCUUCUAGAUAAGAUAGUAAUUGACAAAGUUCUCUAGUCACUAUCACCAAGUCACUGGAACUUCGUGAUAAACUAUAAUAUGCAAGGGAUGACGAAAAUGAUUCCCGAGCUCUUCGUGAUGCUGAAAUCGACGAAGGUAGAAAUUAAGAAAAGCAUCAAAAGUUGAUGGUUGACAAGACCACUAGUUUAAAGUAAAAGGGCAAGGGAAAGAAAGAGGAACUUCAAAGAAGAAUAGCAAGCAAGUUGAUGCUCCCAUGAAGAAGCCCAAAGCUAGACCAUAGCCUGAAACUGAGUGCUUCUACUUCAAAGGAAAUGGUCACUCAAAGUGGAACUGCCCUAGAUACUUGGCGGAUAAGAAGGAUGGCAAAGUGAACAAAAGUAUAUUUGAUAUACAUGUUAUUGAUGUGUACUUUACUAGUGUUUAUAGAAACCCCUCAGUAUUUGAUACUGGUUCAGUUGCUAAGAGCAGUAACUCGAAACGGGAGUUGCGAAAUAAAUAGAGACUAGUUAAGGGCGAGGUGAUGAUGUAAGUUGGAAGUGAUUCCAAGGUUUAUAAGAUCACCACCAUCGCACACUCCCUUUACCUUCAAGAUUAGUGUUGAACCUAAAAUAAAUGUUAUUUGGUGUUUGCGUUGAGCAUAAAUAUGAUUGGAUCAUGUUUAUUGCAAUACGGUUAUUCAUUUAAGUCAAAGAAUAAUUAUCGUUCUAUUUACAUGAAUAAAACCUUCUAUGGUCAUACACUCAAUAUAAAUGGUUUAUUGAAUCUCGAUCAUAGUGAUACACAUACUCCUAAUAUUGAAGCCAAAAAGAUGCAAAGUUAAUAAUGAUAGUGCAACUUAUAUGUGGCACUGUCGUUUAGGUCAUAUUGGUGUAAAGCGCGUGAAGAAACUCCAUGCUGAUGGAUUUUGGAAUCACUUGAUGCUUGCGAACCAUGCCUCAUGGGCAAGAUGACUAAGGCUCCGUUCUCCGGAACAAUGGAGUGAGCAACAGACUUCUUGGAAAUAAUGCAUACUGAUGUGUGCGGUCCAAUGAGUGUUGAGGCUCGCGGCGGGUAUCAUUAUUUUCUGACCUUUACAGAUGAUUUGAGCAGAUAUGGGUAUAUCCACUUGAUGAAACAUAAGUCUGAAACAUUUGAAAAGUUCAAAGAAUUUCAGAGUAAAGUGGAAAAUCAUUGUAACAAGAAAAUAAAGUUUCUACGAUCUGAUCACGGAAACAAAUAUUUGAGUUACGACUUUGGUCUUCAUUUGAAACAAUGUAGAAUAGUUUCGCAACUCACGCCACCUGGAACACCACAGCAUAAUGGUGUGUCCGAACAUCGUAAUCGUACUUUAUUGGAUAUGGUGCGAUCUAUUAUGUCUCUUACCGAUUUACCACUAUCAUUUUGGGGUUAUGCAUUAGAGACAACUGCAUUCAUAUUAAAUAGGGCACCAUCUAAAUCUGUUGAGACGACACCGUAUGAACUACGGUUUGGCAUGAAACCAAAGCUGUCAUUUCUUAAAUUUUGGGGUUGCGAUGCUUAUGUGAAAAGGUUUCAAACUGAUAAGCUCGAACCCAAAUCAGAGAAGUGCGUCUUCAUAGGAUACCCAAAAGAAAUUGUUGGGUACACCUUCUAUCACAGAUCCGAAGGCAAGAUAUUUUCUUGCUAAGAAUGGAUCCUUUCUAGAGAAGGAGUUUCUCUCGAAAGAAGUGAGUGGGAGGAAAGUAGAACUUGAUGAGGUAAUUGUACCUUCUCCUAAAUUGGAAAGUAAUUAAUCACAUAAAUCAGUUCCAGUGAUUCCUACACCAAUUAGUGAGGAAGCUAAUGCUGGUGAUAAUGAAACUUCAGAUCAAGUUACUACCGAACCUCGUAGAUCAACCAGAGUACGGUCCGCACCAGAGUGGUACGGCAAUCCUGUUCUGGAAGUAAUGUUACUAGACCAUGACGAACCUACAAACUAUCAGGAAGCGAUGAUGAGCCCUGAUUCCGUGAAAUGGCAUGAGGCCAUGCAAUCUGAGAUGGGAUCCAUGUAUGAGAACAAAGUAUGGACUUUGAUUGACUUGCCCGAUGAUCGGUGAGCCAUAGAGAAUAAAUGGAUCUUCAAGAGGAAGAUGGAUGCUGAUGGUAGUGUCACUAUCUACAAAGCUUGACUAGUCACAAAAGGUUUUCGACAAGUUCAAGGUGUUGACUACGAUGAGAUUUUCUCACUCAUAGCGAUGCUCAAGUCUGUCCGAAUCAUGUUAGCAAUUGCCACAUUUUAUGAAAUCUGGUAAAUGGAUGUCAAAACUGCGUUCCUUAAUGGAUUUCUUAAAGAAGAGUUGUAUAUGAUGCAACCAUAAGGUUUCGUCGAUCCUAAAGGUGCUAACAGAGUGAGCAAGCUCCAAUGAUCCAUCUAUGGACUGGUGCAAGCAUCUCGGAGCUGGAAUAUAUGCUUUGAUAAAGUCAUCAAAGCAUAUGGUUUUAUACAGACUGGCGGUGAAGCCUGUAUUUACAAGAAAGUGAGUGGGAGCACUACAGCAUUUUUGAGAAGUAUAUGUGAAUGGCAUAUUGUUGAUCGGAAAUAAUUAGAAUUUUAUGGAAAUCAUAAAGGAAUGUUUGAAAGGAGUUUUUCAAAGAAAGACCUCGGUGAAGCUACUUACAUAUUGAGCAUUAAGAUCUAUACAGAUAGAUCAAGACACUUGAUAUAUUUUCAAUGAGUACAUACCUUGACAAGAUUUUGAAGUAGUUCAAAAUGGAACAGUCAAAGAAGGAGUUCUUGCCUGUGUUGCAGGGUGUGAAGUUGAGUAAAGACUCAAAACCCGACCACGACAGAAAAUAGAAAGAGAAUGAGAAGUCAUUCCCUAUGCCUCAGUCAUAGGUUCUACAAAGUAUGCUAUGCUGUGUACCAGACCUAUUGUGUACCUCACCAUAAGUUUGGCAAGAGGGUACAAUAGUGAUCCAGGAGUGGAUCACUAGGCAGAGGUCAAAAAUAUCCUUAGUGGAAUAAGGAAAUGUUUAUCGAUUAUGGAGGUGACAAAGAGUUCGUCGUAAAGAGUUACGUCGAUGCAAGCUUUGACACCGAUCUGGAUGACUCUAAGUCCCGACCUAGAUACAUAUUGAAAGUGGGAGCAAUUAUCUAGAGUAGCUCCGUGCAAAGCAUUGUAGACAUAGAAAAUUUGCAAAAUACAUACGGCUCUGAAUGUGGCAGACCCGUUGACUAAAUUUCUCUCACAAGCAAAACAUGAUCACUCUUUGGGUGUUAAUCACAUAGUGAUGUGAAAUAGAUUAUUCACUCUAGUAAACCGUUUGGGUGUUAUUCACAUGGAGAUUUGAACUAAUCAUAUAAAGAUGUCAACUAUUGGUGUUAAACCACAUGACGAUGUGAACUAGAUUAUUGACUCUAGUGCAAGUGGGAGACUGAAGGAAAUAUGCCCUAGAAGCAAUAAUAAAGUUGUUAUUUAUAUUUCCUUAUAUCAUGAUAAAUGUUUAUUAUUCAUGCUAGAAUUGUAUUAACCGGAAACUUAGUACAUGUGUGAAUACAUAGACAAACAGGGUGUCACUAGUUUGCCUCUACUUGAUUAGCUCAUUGAAUCAAUGCUUGUUAUGUUUGCUAACCAUAGACAUGAGUUGUCAUUUGAUUAACGGGAUCACAUCAUUAGAGAAUGAUGUGAUUGACUUGACCCAUCAGUUAGCUUAGCACGAUGAUCGUUUAUUUUGUUGCUAUUGCUUUCUCCAUAACUAUACAUGAUCAUAUGACUAUGAGAUCAUGCAACUCCCGAAUACCAGAGGAACACUUUGUGUGCUACCAAACGUCACAAUGUAACUGGGUGAUUAUAAAGGUGCUCUAUAGGUGUCUCCGUUGGUGUUUGUUGCGUUGGCAUAGAUCAAGAUUAGGAUUUGUCACUCCGAUUGUCGGAGAGGUAUCUCUGGUCCCUCUCGGUAAUGUACAUCACAAUAAGCCUUGCAAGCAAUGUAGCUAAUGAGUUAGUCACAGGAUGUAGCAUUACGGAAUGAGUAAAGAGACUUGUCAAUAACGAGAUUGAACUAGGCAUUAAGAUACCGACGAUCGAAUCUCAGGCAAGUAACAUACCGAUGACAAAGGGAAUAACGUAUGUUGUUAUGCGGUUUGACUAAUAAAGAUCUUCGUACAAUAUGUAGGAACCAAUAUGAGCAUCCAGGUUCCGCUACUGGUUAUUAACCAAAGAUGAGUCUCGGUCAUGUCUACAUUGUUCUUGAACCCGUAGGGUCCGCACGCUUAACGUUCGGUGACGAUCGGUAUUACGAGUUUAUGUGUUUUGAUGUACCGAAUGUAGUUUGGAGUCCCGGAUUUUAUCACAGACAUGAUGAGGAGUCUCAAAAUGGUCGAGGCGUAAAGAUCGAUAUAUUGGAAGCCUAUGUUUGGACAUCGGAAUGGUUCCGGGUGAAAACGGGAGUAUACCGGAGCACCGGGAGGUUACCGGAACCCCCCGGGAGCUAUAUGGGCCUUAUUGGGCCUUAGUGGGAGAGAGGGGAAAGGAGCAAAGGAGGGGCGUGCCCCCCAAGCCCAAUCCGAAUUGGGAGGGGGCCUGACCCUCCUUUCCUUCCUCCUCCCUCCUCCUUCCUUCUCUCCUAAAUCCAACAAGGCAAGGGGGGAAUCCUACUGCCAGUGGGAGUAGGACUCCCCUUGGGGCAAGCCUAGGAGGCCGGCCCCCUCCCCCUCCUCCACUCCUUUAUAUACGGGGGAGGGGGGCACCCCAUGGACACACAUGUUGAUCAUUGAUCUUUUAGCCAUGUGCGGUGCCCCCCUCCACCAUAAUCCACCUCGGUAAUAUCGUAGCAGUGCUUAGGCGAAGCCCUGUUCUGGUAGCAACAUCAUCACCGUCAUCACGCCGUCGUGUUGACGAAACUCUCCCUAGAAGCUCUACUAGAUCGUGAGUUCGCGGGACGUCACCGAGCCGAACGUGUGCAGAUCGUGGAGGUGUCGUACCUUCGGUGCUAGAUCGGUCGAUCGUGAAGACGUACGACUACAUCAACCGCGUUGUCAUAACGCUUCCGCUUACAGUCUACGAGGGUACAUAGACGAUACUCUCCCCUCAUUACUAUGCAUCACCAUGAUCUUGCUUGUGCGUAGGAUUUUUUUUUGAAAUUACUGCGUUCCUCGACAGAGCGCGUGUCUGCCCGCGCUACUGUUAUACAAGCGUAGCAGUAGUGAGCGGUAUGGAAGCGCGCUACUACUAAUAGCUCUAGCGCUAUUUAUUAGACUGCGCUACUGCUAGUGGCACGCUGCUGCUAAAUUUUCUUCACUCGCUACUGCUAAUUUUAUUUGUUUUUGUUUUUUCUGUAUAUUUGUCUUGUAUUUGAAUAGGCUUUAUACAAGAAUCUUUAGCAUAUCAUACACAUACAAAUGUAACCAUAGCAUCAAAUCAUGUCAUCAUCAUAAUCAUCAUCCAACACAAAGUGGUCUCUCGUCAUCAUCUUGAAAAUAGCGAUACAAGUCUCGAUUACUUGCAACUACAUCGUCAUCCAUCUAAACAAUGAUAUACGAAAGAAGAGCUAUCACUAUGAGUGAGAGCGAAACUAUGUUGUACAUGAGUUCGUAUCCCUCUCUCGCAUUAGCGUGAACCUAAACUAACUACUGGCUGUUGCUUGGAAGCUGAAAACUGGUACACCUGUUGCACUUCUUCAUCAUCGAUGAUUUAUGCACCUGCAUCGUCACAUGAGUCGAUGCUAUGCAACAUACAUAGUUGAGCAACAGAAAGAGACAGACUUGGCAAAAAUAGAAGCAACAUAUCAUAAGCAUAAAUAACAAAGUUCAUCGUACCCAAAAUGCCCUAACCAGAGUGAUCUUCGCUAGUUGAGGAGGGCGGUUUAAUUACAUCACAAAUAAAGUUUCAUCAUGCAUAACUCAAAGGUUCGUCAUUCAGAAUGUAUGGACUAAACAGACACAUUGUCAUAUAUCGACAAUCACUCCAACAUGUCGUUCCAUCCAUCCAAGUCAGGAGAUAGUCCCCGAGCUUAGUGAAAAGCUUCAGGUCGAGACACUGAGCGCCUACGCCUGUUCGGACUUCUUCCCGCGACAUUUUCCCUUCCUCAUAUAAUAGACCUGUUUUGUCGAGGACCUCCUUCAUGAUGACUUGGGCAAGUUCAUGCUGGAUGUGAUAGAACUCGGCUUGAAGUCAAUGAUCCGGGAUAUCUCCUAUGUUCUUUGCCCAUUGCAGAAUAUGGGCAUCGCCGGAUUUAGGUGACAUGUGAAGGUCCUGAUGAUCCUGUCUGUACUCCAGCAUGUGGUGUAGGACAUAGAAUCCAUCACUAAGAGAAUCACUCGGUUGCUGGAUGCAGCAGAAGUCGGUCUUAUGGCCGAAGGCCGGCCUGUCGUCCCUUUUCUGCUUGUCCUUGACCUCUCCACCCCGUACGCUGUAGUAAAACAUAGCACAGUCGAGAACAGUCUUGAUGUGGGUGUAAUCCUUUUUGUUCAUGUUCUUUGACAAGUCCAAGUAAAGAGCGUGGGAGUGCCGGGGGUAAAGGAUGAUGAGGAUGGUGCGCCCACCGCUACGCAAAAUAAGUACACCUCAAAUUAAUUAGCCUCCACCGUGCAAAUGAAGAUUGAAAUCGAAGGAAGUAUAUCUGCGCGGAUGACUUACAGGGGAUGAUAAGGAACGAGAAUCGCCUCCUUGUCCUUAUUAGCGACCAUGAAAUCGAUGAUGCAGUCCCUCGCGUAUUCACGGUGCUCUGCGCAGACUGCCAAGAAGCCCUCGUGCAUGUAGUACGGGUCAGAGACACACAUAUAAGGUAUCUGCUCAAACCCGAUGAUGUAGUUCAUGUACAAGGCAUAAAGGCGGACAAACAUAAAUCCAGCUUCUUCAAGUGAAACAUGUCGAAGAUGUAAUCGAAUCGAAGGAAGAACUUGUCCGUGGGGCAUGAGUGGAUGUACGAGCUUUGCCGCGGCACGUUAACCACAUAGAGUCGGUAUCCUGGAUUUUCCAAGGCGAUGAGGCUUUUCUCUCUCCGGAGCACAUCCUCAUGAAGUCCCCUUAGAUUGCCGUGUGUGGCCUCUAACACUGCCUUAGGUAGGAAUGGUUCACUGGCGACAUGCCAUUUUGCCGCACCGGGGAUAGGUAUACGGUCUUUAACCCGAGGCUGCUGAGGCGGCUGGAUCAUAGAAGCAACUUUGUUGCCUUUCCUCCGUCUCUUACUAUACUUCUUUCAUACUGGAAGUUCGUCUAUAAUAUGUUCAACCUCCGGAGGCGGCAAUUCAUGCACCGACUCAUGACGCUCAAACCCCGAGUACUCAUCAUAGGCGCAAGUAUUGAGAUAUUGUUCAGUGUUAUCGUCAUCCUCAUCCUCAUCUAUGCCGAUGUGAUCAGCGACUAAUGGAGCCUCUUCCUCACCCCGUCCGCUAUCACCCAGCAGGACAGCCGACGCUAAUUGGGUAGGUGGGGUGUUGAUGUUCAUACCUUGCUGAGGCUGCGUGCUCGUGGGUGUGCUCCCGGCCGCCUCCAAACAAAGCAGACUCUUUGGCCACAAUAGGACGCACCCAUAGCAACCAACAUGCCGCCGCGGGGUCUCGUCGUCAUCCCCCUAGUACCGGAGGAGCCAAAUUCUUGUGGCCCAGUUUGACACUGACCACGGAAACCUUGAAGACGUUAGGGGGGAUCGGGCGGCUAUGGAACAAUGGUUCCUUCGGCUUCAUUAUCGUCGCCUUCCCCACGUCCACCUUUUGGUCGUCGAUGGUGUACAAUAUGGUGCACGGGGUUACGUCGGCCUGAAAAGACAUGUCUGCGAUGUGAGACAUCCGAAAGGCAACGAAAAUGGAAGAUUAUACAUUUAUUGAAGAGGACCGGUGUGGCAGAUACCGUGAGGGCGUCGAGCUCAGCCAAAGACGUAGCACUGCCGAGCACGUCCGAGACGGAGGAUGGGCUGCUAUGAGUAGGUGCGAGAGCCGGUGCAGGAGCCAGUGCGGGAGCAGGUGCUGGUGCUAGUGCAACGCUAGUCGAGCUGCUCCCAAAGAAGUCGGCAAGGGGAAAGUUCGCUGCAUUUUUUUUCUGGAUUUUGCCUGCUCCAAUUGAAAACGGCCGGAACCAAGGCACUAGACAUAUCUGCAAUCAUCUAUUUUAUGGCAGCUACCGCUGUUGCCACUGUCUCAACUAAUUUCUUCUCAACCGCAAUCUCAACCUUCUUGUCGAUGUUUUCUUCAGUUAACCUCUGUCUUUCCUUUCUCUCUUCUGUGGUCUCAUGGUAGUACUUCUUCCAUGUGGCUCCGUCUCCGACACCGUGCACGCGUCCAUACGACGGCCGAGUGUCCACCGGGAGUCAUUUUAAUAUGUUCAACGCCCAGUUGAAUGGGGUGUCCCACUUGGGCCUCGCCAACGCCUCAGACGGCGAGUCGCUUUUGGCCGCAAUCCUGUGUUGCUCUCUCUGCAAAAGAAACAAGGAUCGUUUACAAAUAUGACUAAACAUGCAAUCGAAUUGAUCGAAACUAAAAUUACCAGCAGUCUCAUGAACUCCGUCAUGAUCGGGUCCGUCUUGAAAACCUUCUUGACUAAGUCCCAAUUGUGAUGUGCCCUAAGGACGUCACGCUCCUAUGGGAUGGUGAAGUCCGCCAAGGGGUCUGGGAUGCCCAGACUUUCGCAUUCUGCGUCCUCCUUGGCCCAUAUGGACCUCUUUCCGCCGUAACCACGGCUUCCGAGGUGGUGGCGCCCCAUGUUCCUCUGUUGAAGUCCCUUCAUGUACUUCGACUUUUUUUGGCAGCUUCGGCCUCACAAGCCGCCUUGAAUAUUUCAAACCGCUCUUGCAUGAUUGUAGGAUUAUCCUUUACAAUCUCGGAGUAGGGUUCCUUUUUGUUGACGAUCCGAUGUUUCACCCUUGUUUUCCAGGGGGCCAACGCGUCGCUAAACUUGGUCAUGGCGUGUUUGUUUAUCUUCUUCAUUGCCGGGUCCUUAUCUGGAUUUUCAUAUUCCUUUUCAUCCCGGCCCGGGAACAAGAAUAUCUGGUGCAGCUUCUUUAGGAGGGAGGGCCUCAUAUUAUCUAUCUUCUUUAGUUUCUCAUCGUUGAUGGUGGCGGUUUUCCAUACGAUGCAGCCUAUUUGAUUGCCGUAGCAUGAUCGCGCUUCCUCAGGCGUUGUUGGCUCAAAAAUGCCGUUGUCCAUCUCCGUGACCACCAGUCUAGUAGGCAUGAGCUGGUUUAGGCAUUGUGGCCUCUUAGCUUUUGGUUCUAUAUCGGCUCCGCUAGUCUCGGCGCCGGUCUCAGUCUCAGCGCCAGUCUGCAUGUCGGUCUCAGUCCCCGAUGCAACAAGUGGGCCCAGCAACAACAUCCAUUGAUCAUCAGCAAGGCUCAAAAAUUCGUCUGUUGUCAGGUAGACAUUGUCGCAAUCACCAGAACCCUGUCCUUCAUUGUUGCUAGCCAUGUUUCCUACGAUUAAAUCUAGUCAAUUAAUCAAGCCUUAAUAAAAUGAAUAAUGACAUAAAAAGGCCUAUGUUUUGUAGGAACGUUGACUCCUUCCAGGUGCAGCAAAUCUCGGGCACUCGAUAUGUCCUAGUUUGUAGCACAAGUCAUGCCGAAAUUCACGAAAAUUUUCGGCAUGACCUUUGCUAAAAAGUGGACAAAUCGAGCACCUGAAAUUUGCCGGAACGGAAGUGAAUCAACAUUCCGGCAAAACGUAGGCCACUCGGCUUCAUUCCUUGGAAACAACAAAAGGCCACUUGGGCACAAUCGAACCACUUCAAUGAAAAGAUAUAACAUGACAACUUCAAUGAAAAUAUAUAAUCAACAAUAAAAGUCUAGGAAGGGAUCAUCUUUAAAAAUAAAAUUUGCCUAAAUUCUUUUCCUAGAAAAAUAGUGGUCUUUUCAAAAACCAAAAACCUUUGCAAAAUGAUCUUACUAAACACUUCUCUGCCUAGGACACAACCCAAAUUCUGUUCUAGCUAUUCCUCUCUCUCUCUCUCACACACACACACACAUUAUUUUCUCUAACCCUUCUAUGCCUAGGACAGAACCCAAUUAAAUUGCAAAGGAACUCCAUUUCUCUAACCCUUCUGACCUAAUGCUUUAAAAUAAAUUUUUCCUCUAACCUAGCGAACCUAGUUAACCUAGCUUGUUAACCUAACGAACCUAAUUAACCUAGCUUGUUAGCCUAGUUUACCUACAUAAUUAAACUAGUUAACCUAUCUAGUGCUCUGUCAAAGCCCUAAAUAAUUUUUUUCUUAACCUAGAUAAUUAACCUAAUUAAACUAGCUAACCUAACUAGUUCUCUGUCAAAGCCCUAACUAAAUUUUUGCACUAACCUAGAUAAUUAACCUAAUUAAACUAGUUAACCUAGCUAGUUAGUAUGUCUAAUGUUUGUGUUAUGCAUGAGAGAGAGAGGAGGGGUGCCUACAGAGGAUGGCUCCGGUGGUGGCGAGGGAGGCAGGGGCGUCUCCGGUGACGGUGAGGGAGGCAGUUGUGGCGAGGGAGGCAGGGGCGUCGAGGGUGGCUCCGGUGGCGCCGAGGGCGGCUCCGGUGGCGUUGGGGGUGGCUCCGGCGGCGUCGACGAUGCGCGGCUCUGGUGGCUUCGGGGGCGUCGAUGUCGGCAGGAAACGGCGUCGAACUUGGACGACGGCGAAUUGGGGACACGGCGGCGAAGUGGGGCGAGGGAUUUGGGGGAGAAGUGGUGGACGGGGGGAGGGAAACCGCUGGUUAAGUCAAACAUAGCGGUAGCGCGUUACUGAAAGCGCGCUAUAGCUAAGUUAGCUAUAGCGUGUUUCACAAAACGCGUUACUGCUAAGCCUUUCUGCUUUUUUUCCUUUCUCAUUUAUUUUUCUUUAAAUUUUAUUUUUCCUUUCUCCUUUUUCUAUUUCUUUCAUUUUCAUUUACUUUUCUUUUUAUUUUUCAAUUUAUUUUCUUUUCAUUAGCAGUAGCGCCUUUCUACGUAAAUGCGCUGCUACAACAAACUUAGCGGUAGCGCUCUUUCUAUAAGAACGCUACUACUAUGUGUAGCCUACUGGCUUAGUAGUGAGAAUUUUAGUCGUAGCGCAUUUAACGAGAGACGUGCUACUGCUGAGUUUGUAUCUGUAGCGCGUUUAUCCGGGACACGCUACUGCUAUUUAGCACUAGCGCCCUUUUUUAACAAGCGCUACUGCUAAAGUUCUGUGUAUAAGGUUUUCCCUAGUAGUGCAUAAAGACAACGAGAUAUCAUGUAUCCUAUAUACCUAUACCUAGAUUGGUGACCUUCACUAAUUCAUUUAUGUUAACAUGCAACCAUGCCACCUCAACAUGCAACUAUUAUACAUGUAAAAAUGAGCACCUUAACAUGCAACACAUUCAAUAUUUUAAACUGCACAAUACAUAGUAAGCAUUUUCAAUUACAGUUUUCAUAUUAUCAAUCCGAAUAUUCAUAUACAACCAAAUCUCAGUAAAUUUUAUUACAACCAAUUCCUACAGCAACAUAUGUGUAACGCCCACGAUGCGGCUAUAGCUCCCACGUGUCGAAGUACGACUUAGAGGCAUAACCGCAUUGUAAGCAAUGUCGCAAGUGAGGUAAUCUUCACAACAACCCAUGUAAUGAAUAAGGGAAAAUAUAUAUAGUUAGCUUACACUCGCCAUAUCACACAAAUAGCAUAAAUAUCAUUACAUUCAUCCAGAUACACUCAGGGUCCGACUACGGAACCAAAAUAAAGAACAACCCCAAAUGCGACAAAGUCCCCGGUCGCCCCAACUGGGCACCACUACUGAUCGUCUUGAAAGGAAACGUAGUAUCGUCCUGAGUCCUCAUCGAACUCCCACUUGAGCUCAGUCGAAUAACCUGGAGCGGUAUCAUCGGUCCCUGCAUCUGGUUUUGGAAGUAAUCUAUGAGUCACGGGGGACUCAGCAAUCUCACACCCUCGCAAUCAAGACUAUUUAAGCUUAUAGGAAGGGUAAAAAUAUGAAGUGGAGUUGCAGCAAGCGACUAGCAUAUUUGGUGGCUAACAUACGCAAAUAAGAGCGAGAAGAGAAGGCCAUGGCACGGUCGAACAACUAUGAUCAAGAAGUGAUCCUAGAACAACCUACGAUCAAGCAUAAGACGAGACCGUGUUCUCUUCCCGGACUCCGCCGAAAAGAGACCAUCACGGCCACACACUCUGUUGAUUCAUAUUUAAUUAAGUUUAGUUUAAGGUUUUCUACAACCGGACAUUAACAAAUUCCCAUCUAUCCAUAACCGUGGGCACGGCUUUCGAAAGUUCAAAUCCCUGCAGGGGUGUCCCAACUUAGCCCAUCACAAGCUCUCACGGUCAAGGAAGGAUAUUCCUUCUCCCAAGACAAUCCGAUCAGACUCGGAAUCCCGGUCACAAGACAUCUCGACAAUGGUAAAACAAGUCCAGCAAGACCACCCGCUGUGCUGACAAAUCCCGACAGGAGCUGCACAUAUCUCGUUCUCAGGGCACACCGAUGAACACUACGUACAACUAAAACCAACCCUCGGGUUCCCCAAGGUGGCGCUGCAAGUGGCUCUGUUUUGGACCAACACUCAGAGGAGCACUGGCCUGUGGGUUUAAAUAAAGAUGACCCUUGAGUCCGUGGAACCCAAGGGAAAAAGAGGCUAGGUGGCAAAUGGUAAAACCAAGGUUGGGCCUUACUGGAGGAGUUUUAUUCAAGGUGAACUAUCAAGGGGUUCCCAUUAUAACCCAACCGUGUAAGGAACGCAAAAUUAAGGAACAAAACACCGGUAUGACGGAAACUAGGGCGGCAAGAGUGGAACAAAACACCAGGCAUAAAGCCGAGCCUUCCACCCUUUACCAAGUAUAUAGGUGCAUUAAGAUAGACAAAAAAUAAUAAUGAUAUCCCAACAAUAAACAUGUUCCAACAAGGAACAAACUCCAAUCUUCACCAGCUACUAGCAACGCUAUAAGAGGGGCUGAGCAAAGCGGUAACAUAGCCAAACAACGGUUUGCUAGGACAAGGUGGGUUAGAGGUUUGACAUGGCAAUAUGGGAGGCAUGAUAAGCAAGUGGUAGGUAUCGUAGCAUAGGCAUAGCAAAAGAGCGAGCAUCUAGCAAGCAAAGAUAGAAGUGAUUUCGAGGGUAUGGUCAUCUUGCCUAUAAAGUUCUCCGAGUUGACGUUAGCUUGAUCCUCGUAAACAUACUCAACGGGCUCCUCGAUCACGUACUCGUCUCCCGGCUCUACCCAAGCAAUAACAACAAGUAAAGGGAGACACAAUCAACCACAUGCAAUGCACAAACAACAUGAUGCAAAACAUGUCAUGAUAUGCGGGAUACGAUAUGUGAUGCAUAUGCAUGAUUCAGAAAAGAAAGAUUGAACCUGGCCUCAACUUGGAAAACCAAGAGUGCCACUGGAAAGAGGAGUUGAUUUCAGUCGAAAUCGAUAUAAAGAUCACCGGAAUCGGAUGCACGGUUUGGAAAUGACAAGAAAAACAAAUAUGGCACCGGUCUGCGAUUAACAACAUGAGGCCAUCUAAAUGCAUCAAGAACAACAAGCUACUGCACCCAAACAUAGCAACAAAAUACAUGGCAGGGAUCAACUCAAGAUACUUGACAAAAGAUGAACACUAAGCUACGGCUAAUUCACUCAAUAACAAGUUCAAACAAGCAUGGCAAAAUGCAAAAGAUAUCAGGUUACAGACUUAGUGAAAAUAACAUCAAAUCAGGAAUUUAACAUCAGGAAGCAAUGUUUAGAGCAAGGUAACAACUUGGUACAGGAACAUAUCAUGGCAAAGCAAUACAUGGCAUGAAGCUACUCAAAGCAUACAACAAAAGUCCCUUACUGACCAUAAGCCAAAAGGGAUCAGAAAAUACAAUGGCAACCAUGCGACAUAGCAAUUAUCGUUAACAGAUUCAGACUUAGCAGAAAACUAGAACAUGUCAAAACAGAUAUCAAGUAAUGUUUACGAGCUCAAAGAAGUCACCACAAAGCAAUGCAUGACACACUAAGCAUACACCCAGCAAGUAGACAUGGCAUAGAAGCUAAACAUGGCAAAACAACAACAUAGCAUGCAUGGAUCAACUAAAACAACCUCGGCAAAAAUGCUUAACAUGUAAACAUUCUGCCAGGAACAUUUUAUAGCAAAAGUAGAGCCCGAUUGACUCAAGUUAGGGUGCUGCAUAAUUGCAAAUAAAGGCAUGGAUGGAUAGAGCACAACAAUAUCUACAAAACAUCCUUACUGAUCAUGCUCAAAAGAGGCAUAGAUCACUCGGUAUCAACAUGAACACAUGGCAUAAAAAUAUAAACACGGCAAUGACUUCCAAUAUUUCCAAGUUCCUGAAAUCAGCAACAACAAGUAAGCUACUUUGCAUGCUUGUGCUAGUCACCACAGAGAUCACAAAAAUACAUGGCAUACACCCCUAUAAAGAUGACAUGACAUACUUCAAAACUCAUGUAGAGCUCAAGUUCAUAGGAGGCACACAUCAAUCAUGGCAAAAAUGACAAAUGUCCAAUUGCUGAUAUGAAACCGAAACUAAGAAACUAGCACUCUUCCAACAGCAUUUAGGGCAUCAAGAUGAGCUCAAAUGAACAUGAUGCAAUGAGAUGAAAUGAAUUACUCGUCGAGGCGAACAUUUCGAUAUGCUACACGCACAAAUCGGAGCCACGGAUGCAAAGUUACGAUGCGAUGAAGAUAGGCAAAAAAUAUUAGGGUUUAGGGCAAAAAGUCAACCGAGAUUUCAGAUCUGGAUCCGGAGCACUGUAGCAGCGCGGAAAACGAAGAUGAACUCGAGCUCGCUGGAGUUCCUAUUCGCCGGAGAUGGGGGUCGCCGGAGUAGCGGAACUUGACGCCGGCGAGGAGGGUCGUCGAGGAGGCAGUGGCGGGCGUGGUGGUGCGGCCGUGGCGAGGAGCGGCGUCCCCGACGGGCGUGGAUGGCGGCGGCGGCCUGCCGGAGCGGCGAGGCGGCGCGGGCGGUCGCCGACACCGGCGAGGGACGCGGCGACCGGCGCGGCGGGCGAGGUGGCGGCGCUCGGGCGCGCGCGAGCCGGGUGGUUGGCGGCGCUGCGCGGGCCGGGAGGGCUCUCCCCGGGCCCAGGCAGGCCGGCGCGGCCGGGGAGACCCGGCGGGACACGUGGCAGGUGCUGGUUGGCACGGAGGCGGCGGCAGACGUGUCCAGUCCGCUUCGGACGUGUCCGUUGGCGCGGGGAGCGGAAUUUUAGGGUUUAGGGGGGAGAGACCCAGGAUUUCGGAGGAGGGGCUAUAUAUAGAGGUAGAGGGAGCUAGGAGGCUCCAAAUUGAGCACGGUUUGCGGCCACGCGAUCGUGAUCGAACGGCCUCGAUGAUGGAGGGGGUUUAGGUGGGUUUUGGGCCAUUUUGGAAGGGUGUUGGGCUGCAACACACACGAGGCCUUUUCGGUCCCUCGGUUAACCGUUGGAGUAUCAAACAACGUCCAAAUGGUAUGAAACUUGACAGGCGGUCUACCGGUAGUAAAACAAGGCCGCAUGACAAGUCUCGGUCCAAUCCGAAAAUGUUUAACACCCGCACACAAAAAGAGGUAGAAAGGGACACCGGAGGACAUAGGAGCGCCGGAAUGCAAAACAGACAACGGGGAAAAUGCUCGGAUGCAUGAGACGAACACGUAUGCAAAUGCAAUGCACAUGAUGACAUGAUAUGAGAUGCAUGACAAAGACAAAAACACACGAAGACAAAAACCCGACAACGAGGAAAUAUCAUAACUUAGUGCCGAAAACGGCAAGAGUUGGAAUACAAAUAUGGCAGGUUACAUACGGGGUGUUACAACACUCCACCACAACGAAAGGAUCUCGUCCCGAGAUCUAGGACUGGAAAAACUCCGGGUACUCAGAACGGAGGUGGUCCUCGCAUUCCCAGGUGGCUUCACGGUCGGAAUGAUGUGACCACUUGACUUUCAGGAAUUUAAUAGACUUGUUGUGAGUCUUGCGCUUAGCUUCUUCAAGAAUCGCAACUGGGUGCUCACGAUAAGACAGGUCUUCUUGGAGAUCAAUGUCUUCGAAGUUGAUGGUGCGGUAAGGAGUCUUGAAACACUUGCGGAGUUGAGACACGUGAAACACGUCGUGCACGCUUGCAAAGUUGGAGGGAAGUUCAAGUUGAUAGGCGAGGUCGCCUCUUUUGCCAAUGAUCUUGAAAGGACCCACGUAUCUAGGGGCAAGCUUCCCUUUGAUACCGAAGCGACGAGUACCUUUCAUUGGAGAGACACGGAGGUAGACAUGGUCUCCGAUCUCGAAAGCCAAGUUUUGAUGCCUGCUAUCAUAGUAACUCUUCUGGCGCGAUUGCGCGGCUUUGAGAUUUUCACGAAUGACUUUGCACAUUUCUUCUGCCUCUGUGAUCAAGUCAUUGCCAAGAAGUUGGCGUUCACCAGUCUCUGACCAGUUAAGAGGAGUACGACACUUCCUGCCAUAGAGAAUCUCGAAUGGGGCCUUGCCCGAACUCGCUUGGAAGCUGUUGUUGUAGGAGAACUCGGCAUAUGGAAGGCAAUCUUCCCACUUCAUACCGAAAGAAAUGACGCAAGCCCUGAGCAUAUCUUCAAGAAUUUGAUUUACUCGCUCAACUUGGCCACUGGUUUGAGGAUGAAAAGCUAUGUUGAAGCGAAUGUUGGUGCCCAUGGCCUUCUGAAAAGAAUCCCAAAACUUGGAGGUGAAGAUGCUGCCACGAUCUGAAGAUAUCAACUACGGAAUGCCGUGCAGAGAGACAAUCCUGAAGGUAUAUAGCUUUUCCAACUGAGCUGCUGUGAUAGAUUCUUUGAUUGGAAGAAAAUGAGCCACUUUGGUGAGCUUGUCGAUGACAACGAAGAUAGCAUCAUUGCCAUGCUUGGACUUUGGAAAUCCAGUCACGAAGUCCAUCUCAGUAUGGUUAAACUUCCAUUCUGGAAUGGCAAGAGGUUGGAGGAGACCAGCUGGUCGUUGGUGUUCUGCUUUCGCUCUUCUGCAGACAUCACAUUCAUUCACGAACUAAGCAAUCUCACGCUUCAUUCGAGUCCACCAAUACGACUGCUUGAGGUCCUGGUACAUCUUUGUACUUCCAGGGUGAAUAGAGAGGAGUGAAUUGUGAGCCUCGUUCAUAAUGACUUUACGAAGGUCACCUUUAGGAACAACAAUGCGAUCCUCGAAGAAUAGAGUAUCCUUGUCAUCAAGGCGAUAGCACUUGUACUUGGGUUGACUCUUGGCAAUCCCAAUUUUCACCUUCUUCACCAUAGCAUCAAGAAGUUGAGCCUCGCAAAUCUGAUCUUCCAAAGUAGGAGAGACUUGGAGGUUGGCAAGAAAUCCUUGAGGAACAACUUGAAGAUUAAGUUUGCGGAAAGCUUCACAAAGCUCGGGUUGGUAAGGCUUGAGAAUCAAACUGUUGCAGUAAGCCUUCAUGCUCAAUGCAUCAGCAAUUACAUUGGCCUUGCCUGGAGUAUAUUCAAUACUCGGAUUAUACUCUUGAAUCAUUUCGACCCAACGAGUCUGCCUGAGGUUGAGGUUUGGCUGAGUGAAGAUGUACUUGAGACUCUUAUGAUCAAUGAAUAUGUCCACUUUUCGUCCCAAUAAGAGAUGUCUCCAUGUUAAAAGAGCAUGGACAACUGCCGCCAACUCGAGGUCAUGAGUGGGGUAGUUCUUUUCGUUGGGCUUCAACUGGUGAGAGGUAUAGUCCACAACUUUCUUCUCUUGCAUCAACACUGCACCAAGACCUUGAAGGGAAGCAUCACAGAAGACCUCGAACGGUUUGGAUUCAUCAGGAGGAGUCAGAACUGGAUCAGUAACUAACUUCUCUUUCAGGGUGUUGAAAGCGAUGUCACAUUCAGGCGACCAGACGUACUUCACAUGCUUCUGGAGGAGGUUGGAAAGAGGCUUCACGAUCUUAGAGAAGUUCUCAACGAACCUUCGACAAUAGCUUGCGAGCCCAAGGAAGCUACGGAGUUGCUUCACAUUCUGAGGUGGUUCCCAAUUCACAAUUGCAGACACCUUCUCAGGAUUAACAGCUAUGCCCUUGGCGGAGAUGAUAUGUCCAAGGUAGAGAACCUCAUCAAGCCAAAACUCGCACUUUGAAAACUUUGCAUAUAACUAAUGUUCUCUGAGUUUAUCCAGCACCAAUCUCAAGUGCUUGGCAUGAUCCUCCUUGUUCUUGGAAAAGACCAAAAUGUCAUCGAGGUAGACCAAGACGAAGUCAUUUGUGUAGGAGUUGAAGAUGAAGUUCAUCAUGGGAGAGAAAGUUGGUGGAGCGUUGACGAGACCGAAAGACAUGACAGUGUAUUCAUAUGAACCAUAGCUUGUUCUGAAUGCUGUCUUGGGGAUAUCUUCUUCACGAAUGUGAAUCUGAUGAUAGCCCAUACGGAGAUCAAGCUUGGAGAAUACUUGAGCACCCUUGAGUUUUUCAAAAAGCUCAUUGAUGUUGGGAAGUGGGUACUUGUUCUUUAUGGUGUUCUUGUUCAAUGGACGAUAGUCGACACAAAGUCGGUCUGUUCCAUCCUUCUUCUUGACGAAAAGAACACCACAACCCCAUGGAGAAGAACUUGGUCGGAUGAGACCCAUACGCUCUUGAAUAUCGAGUUGCUUCUUCAGCUCCUUCAACUCUUCAGGUCCAAGCUUGUAAGGACGUUUGCAAACAGGUUCUGUGCUAGGCUCAAGAUCGAUGACGAAUUCAACUGGCCGGUGCGGAGGCAUUCCUGGAAGCUCUUCUCGAAAGACGUCUUGAUAUUCGCAAACAAAUGGAAUCUGAGAGAUGGCAUCCAACUCGCCCUUCUCGUUGAGGGAAAACAGUCGGAUGGUAUCAUCACGAGCGGUAAAGACGAUUACAUCCUCAGAUGAAUGUGUCAAUUGAAUCUGCCUGGCAGCACAAUCAAGCUGAGCCUUGUGCUUAGAAAGCCAGUCCAUUACGAGAAUAAGAUCAAUAUCCGAGUUACCAAGGACCACUGGAGAAGAUAGAAACUUAUAGUCGCCCAACGUGAUAGUAACAUCCGGGACGCAAUUGUUAGAAGUCAUUUGCUUGCCCGGGGACACAAUCAUCAACAGGAAAGGAAUCUUUUCGGUCACAAACUCAUGCUUGGCAACAAAUGGUCUUGAAAUAAAAGAAAGCGAUGCACCAGUUUCAAAAAGAACUUUUGCAGGAACAUCGUUAACAGAAAGGUUACCCAUGAUGACAUCUGACGAGUCCUCUGCCUGAGCUGCGUUCAUCAUGUUGACCUUGGCGUGCUUGGGAUUAUGCUUGACCACUGCGGUACUGGCAGAUCUCACGGUAGGAGGAGGAGGAAGACGCCUCUGAUUGAAGCAUUUGUUGGCAUAGUGACCCUUCUACUGACACUUGUUGCACGUGACCUCCGAGAGCGGACGGUGAUACGGAGCACUUGAUCUUGGAGCAUGAGACGAAGUCUUGUUCUGAAAGCCUGGGUUGGGUGGGUGGGAAGAUCCAUUGCCACCUUUGCUCUUCUGCUGAUAAGGCUGACGGAACGGAGGAGGAGGCAACCAAUACUUUUGCUGCUUAGUUACCACCUGAGUUGAGGAAGAAGGAGUUGCAUCCCUGACUCGCUUCUUGGAAGCAUCGCACUUUAGCUGAGCAGCCUCUUGUUUCAGUGCCAUGUUGUAAAACUCAUCGUACUUCUGUGGCUCGAAAAGCACGAGAGCAAGUUGAAGAUCUUCUCUGAGGCCACCUCUGAACUGAUAAAUCAUGCUCUUCUCGUCAGGGACGUCUUGCUUGGCGAAACGAGCGAGCUUCUGGAACAUGAUGUUAUACUGGUAAACAGACAAGCUGCCUUGCUUCAGGUUGCGGAAUUCCUCACGCUUGCUCUCAAUAACACUCUGAGGAAUGUGGUGAGCUUCGAAGUCUUGACGGAAUUCAUCCCAGGUAAUCACACGGCCUCCUCUGGAAUCUUUGUACUGUUGAUACCACUCAGCAGCUUGGUCUUUAAGUUGAAACGAGGCAAACUUGACAAAGUCCUCAGGCCUGACGUUGCUGCAGUCAAAAUGCUUGCAGAUAUCCACGAGCCAAUGAUCAGCGUCUGUUGCCUCAACACAGUUGCUGAAGGUCUUUGGCUGGUUAGCGAGGAACUGGUUGAGUGUAGCAAACUGAUUCUGAUUGUUGACAUGGCCUUGGUUGCGCUCUUGCAAGAGUUGCAUGAUCAGCUGCGUGUUUGCAUUGGUAGCGGCCAUCACAGCUUGCCAUGCCUCCGGAGGCGGAGGUGGUGGUGGCGGAUAAGGAUUCGAACACGUUGGGGGAGCCAUCCUGAAGAGGGUGACAUCCGUUAGCAUCUUGACAGACAUAUAUUCAAGCUGAAUCAAAUGGAUCGAAAUUGCAACAUAUAGUCUUAACAUCCGAACAAAAUGAACGAAUGCAUUCCAAUUGAAAUGGUAACACUUCCAUAAAUUGAGAAGCCACUUAGAUAGAGGUAGAAGAAUAAAACAACAAGGUACGGACAAGAACAAAUACUUGGUGAGGAUUACCCAAUCACAAACCAAAUAUCCGCGGAAGAAAUACUAGAGCUACAAGAAUUCCCACCUAUGAAACUCCCGAACCUUUCUAGUUAUGCAAUCAGGUGUUGGGGAUACAGGGGAAGCAUAAUAUCUCACCCAAAGCUAGCAAAUCCUACAUCCAGAUGUAUCCAUCCUUCAACACAUAACCAAGAAACCUUCGGAAAUCAUUUACCUCAACCUUCGAAAAGCAUCCGUUAUACGAGUUAUGGCGAUACUCCCGAACUCCCGCCCCAGUAUUGGGUGGCGUCGAGGUUAUCUCACCAACAACUACAUAAAAGAGAUUUUCGAUGUCGGCGAAACUCAGGUAUUCCAGAAUUGCAACGAUAAAAUUGUGACGACAACACCUCGGAGCUCAACUCCCCGGGACACUGCCACAACCCCUAAAUGUCAGGAGGCACCAAGAACAAUGUUCUCAUCACAAAACCAUCGGAACGAUUUCAAGAUACCCGCGUGAUCCUAAUUUUUUUAGUGAAAUUUGAGAAGAGAAGAGUCAAAACUCUACGUCAGGAUGCCUCACCAGAGCGACGAAGGGACUGAGGAGUAAAAAGAAUCCUACUCCGAUAUAUAUAAUCCUAAAUGACUCAAAACAUUUUUCUAGACUCAACAACGCCAACGAUUCGAUCAAGCAGGGGGCUCCUAAGGUCGGGGAAGGCUCUGAUUACCAACUUGUAACGCCCACGAUGCGGCUAUAGCUCCCACGUGUCGAAGCACGACUUAGAGGCAUAACUGCAUUGUAAGCAAUGUCGCAAGUGAGGUAAUCUUCACAACAACCCAUGUAAUGAAUAAGGGAAAAGAUACAUAGUUGGCUUACACUCGCCACGUCACACAAAUAGCAUAAAUAUCAUUACAUUCAUCCAGAUACACUCAGGGUCCGACUACGGAACCAAAAUAAAGAACAACACCUAAUGCGACAAAGUCCCCGAUCGCCCCAACAGGGCACCACUACUGAUCGUCUGGAAAGGAAACAUAGUAUCAUCCUGAGUCCUCGUCGAACUCCCACUUGAGCUUAGUCGAAUCACCUGAAGCGGUAUCAUCAGUCCCUGCAUCUGGUUUUGGAAGUAAUCUGUGAGUCACGGGGGACUCAGCAAUCUCACACCCUCGCGAUCAAGACUAUUUCAGCUUAUAGGAAGGGUAAAAAUAUGAGGUGGAGCUGCAGCAAGCUACUAGCAUAUUUGGUGGCUAACAUACGCAAAUGAGAGCGCGAAGAGAAGGCCAAGGCACGGUCGAACAACUAUGAUCAAGAAGUGAUCCUAGAACAACCUACGAUCAAGCAUAACACGAGACCGUGUUCUCUUCCCGGACUCCGCCGAAAAGAGACCAUCACAGCCACACACUCUGUUGAUUCAUUUUUAAUUAAGUUUACUUUAAGGUUUUCUACAACCGGACAUUAAAAAAUUCCCAUCUGCCCAUAACCACGGGCACGGCUUUUGAAAGUUCAAAUCCCUGCAGGGGUGUCCCAACUUAGCCCAUCACAAGCUCUCACGGUCAACGAAGAAUAUUCCUUCUCCCAAGACAAUCCGAUCAGACUCGGAAUCCCGGUUACAAGACAUCUCUACAAUGGUAAAACAAGUCCAGCAAGACCACCCGCUGUGCCGACAAAUCCCGAUAGGAGCUGCACAUAUCUCGUUCUCAGGGCACACCGGAUGAACACUACGUACAACUAAAACCAACCCUCAGGUUUCCCCAAGGUGGCGCUGCAAGUGGCUCUGUUUUGGACCAACACUCAGAGGAGCACUAGCCCGGGGGUUCAAAUAAAGAUGACCCUUGAGUCCGCGGAACCGAAGGGAAAAAGAGGCUAGGUGGCGAAUGGUAAAACCAAGGUUGGGCCUUGCUGGAGGAGUUUUAUUCAAGGUGAACUGUCAAGGGGUUCCCAUUAUAACCCAACCGUGUAAGGAACGCAAAAUCAAGGAACAUAACACCGGUAUGACGGAAACUAGGGCGGCAAGAGUGGAACAAAACACCAGACAUAAGGCCGAGCCUUCCACCCUUUACCAAGUAUAUAGGUGCAUUAAGAUAGACAAAAAAUAAUAAUGAUAUCCCAACAAUAAACAUGUUUCAACAAGGAACAAACUCCAAUCUUCACCUGCAACUAGCAAUGCUAUAAGAGGGGCUGAGCAAAGCGGUAACAUAGCCAAACAACGGUUUGCUAGGACAAGGUGGGUUAGAGGUUUGACAUGGCAAUAUGGGAGGCAUGAUAAGCGAGUGGUAGGUAUCGUAGCAUAGGCAUAGCAAAAGAGCGAGCAUCUAGCAAGCAAAGAUAGAAGUGAUUUCGAGGGUAUGGUCAUCUUGCCUGCAAAGUUCUCCGAGUUGACGUUAGCUUGAUCCUCGUAAACGUACUCAACGGGCUCCUCGAUCACGUGCUCGUUUUCCGGCUCUACCCAAGCAAGAAUAACAAGCAAACGGAGACACAAUCAACCACAUGCAAUGCACAAACAACAUGAUGCAAAACAUGUCAUGAUAUGCGGGAUGCGAUAUGCGAUGCAUAUGCAUGAUUCGGAAAAUAAAGAUUGAACCUGGGCUCAACUUGGAAAACCAAGAGUGCCACUGAAAAGAGGAGUUGAUUUCGGUCAAAAUCGAUAUAAAGAUCACCGGAAUCGGAUGCACGGUUUGGAAAUGACAAGCAAACAAAUAUGGCACCGGUCUGCGAUUAACAACAUGAGGCCAUCUAAAUGCAUCAAGAACAACAAGCUGCUGCACCCAAAUAUAGCAACAAAAUACAUGGCAGGGAUCCACUCAAGAUACUUGACAAAAUAUGAACACUGAGCUACGGCUAAUUCACUCAAUAACAGGUUUAAACAAGCAUGGCAAAAAGGCAAAAGAUAUCAGGUUACAGACUUUGUGAAAAUAACAUCAAGUCGGGAAUUUAACAUCAGGAAGCAAUGUUUAGAGCAAGGUAACAACAUGCUACAGGAACAUAUCAUGGCAAAACAAUACAUGGCAUUAAUCUACUCAAAGCAUACAACAAAAGUCCCUUACUGACCAUAAGCCAAAAGGGAUCAGAAAAUACAAUGGCAACCAUGCGAACAUAGCAAUUAUCGUUAACAGAUUUAGACUUAGCAGAAAACUGGAACAUGUCAAAACAGAUAUCAAGUAGGCAUGUUUACGAGCUCAAAGAACUCACCACAAAGCAAUGCAUGACACACUAAGCAUACACCCAGCAAGUAGACAUGGCAUAGAAGCUAAACAUGGCAAGAACAAUAACAGAGCAUGCAUGGAUCAACUAAAACAACCUCGGCAAAAAUGCUUAACAUGUAAACAUUCUACCAGGAACAUUUUAUAGCAAAAGUAGAGCUCGAUUGACUCAAGCUAGGGUGCUCCAUAAUUGCAAACAAAGGCAUGGAUGGAUAGAGCACAACAAUAUCUACAAAACAUCCUUACUGAUCAUGCUCAAAAGAGGCAUAGAUCACUCGGUAUCAACAUGAACACAUGGCAUAAAAAUAUAAACAGGGCAAUGACUUACAAUAUUUCCAAGUCCCUGAAAUCAGCAACAACAAGUAAGCUACUUUGCAUGCUUGUGCUAGUCACCACAGAGAUCACAAAAAUACAUGGCAUACACCCCUGUAAAGAUGACAUGACAUACUUCAAAACUCAUGUAGAGCUCAAGUUCAUAGGAGGCACACAUCAAUCAUGGCAAAAAUGACAAAUGUCUAAUUGCUGAUAUCAAACCGAAACUAAGAAACUAGCACUCUUCCAACAGCAUUUAGGGCAUCAAGAUGAGCUCAAAUGAACAUGAUGCAAUGAGAUGAAAUGAAGUACUCGUCGAGACGAACAUUUCGAUAUGCUACACGCACGAAUCGGAGCCAUGGAUGCAGAGUUACGAUGCGACGAAGAUAGGCAAAAAAUAUUAGGGUUUAGGGCAAAAAGUCAACCGAGAUUUCAGAUCUGGAUCCGGAGCACUGUAGCAGCGCGGAAAAUGAAGAUGAACUCGAGCUCGCUGGAGUUCCUGUUCGCUAGAGAUGGGGGUCGCCGGAGUAGCGGAACUUGACGCCAGCGAGGAGGGUCGUCGAGGAGGCGGUGGCGGGCGUGGUGGUGCGGCCGCGGCGAGGAGCGGCGUCCCCGACGGGCGUGGAUGGCAGCGGCGGNNNNNNNNNNNNNNNNNNNNNNNNNNNNNNNNNNNNNNNNNNNNNNNNNNNNNNNNNNNNNNNNNNNNNNNNNNNNNNNNNNNNNNNNNNNNNNNNNNNNNNNNNNNNNNNNNNNNNNNNNNNNNNNNNNNNNNNNNNNNNNNNNNNNNNNNNNNNNNNNNNNNNNNNNNNNNNNNNNNNNNNNNNNNNNNNNNNNNNNNNNNNNNNNNNNNNNNNNNNNNNNNNNNNNNNNNNNNNNNNNNNNNNNNNNNNNNNNNNNNNNNNNNNNNNNNNNNNNNNNNNNNNNNNNNNNNNNNNNNNNNNNNNNNNNNNNNNNNNNNNNNNNNNNNNNNNNNNNNNNNNNNGCCGGCGCGGCGGGCGAGGUGGCGGCGCUCGGGCGCGCGCGAGCCGGGUGGUUGGCGGGGGAGACCCGGCGGGACACGUGGCAGGUGCUGGUUGGCGCGGAGGCGGCAGAGGAUGCGUCCGGUCCGCUCCGGACGUGUCUGGCGGCGCGGGGAGCGGAAUUUUAGGGUUUAGGGGGGAGAGACGUGGGAUUUCAGAGGAGGGGCUAUUUAUAGAGGUAGAGGGAGCUAGGAGGCUCCAAAUUGAGCACAGUUUGCGGCCACGCGAUCGUGAUCGAACGGCCUAGAUGAUGGAGGGGGUUUAGGUGGGUUUUGGGCCACUUUGGAAGGGUGUUGGGCUGCAACACACACGAGGCUUUUUUGGUCCCUUGGUUAACCGUUGGAGUAUCAAACGACGUCCAAAUGGUACGAAAUUUAACAGGCGGUCUACCGGUAGUAAACCAAGGCCGCAUGACAAGUCUCGGUCCAAUCCAAAAAUGUUUAACACCCACACACGAAAAGAGGUAGAAAGGGACACCGGAGGACAUAGGAGCGCCGGAAUGCAAAACGGACAACGGGGAAAAUGCUCGGAUGCAUAAGACGAACACAUAUGCAAAUGCAAUGCACAUGAUGACAUGAUAUGAGAUGCAUGACAAAGACAAAAAUACACGAAGACAAAAACCCGACAACGAGGAAAUAUCAUAACUUAGUGCCGGAAACGGCAAGAGUUGGAAUACAAAUAUGGCAGGUUACAUACGGGGUGUUACAAUAUGGGAUAUCAUGUAGUUGUGUACAGUAUGGCACACAAAUUACAGACCUGUGGUUUUUUAGAAGAAUUAUAGAUUCACAUUAUUUUUGCAAAAACACAUGUAACUUUAUUCACUCUCAACCAUCACAAUUACAUUGCUUCAGAUCCAAGAUCCAAGAAAUUACAAAGCAAUUCCUACAACUAAAAAUUACUAUAAAAUCUCUUGUAGACAUCUUCUUCGUGGUAUCAAUCUUUGUAAGAUGGAAUAACACCAAUACUUCGGUAAAUAGAGUGCAAUUGGACUAGAGCGGUGAUACUGCAACUCAUUCACCUGCACAAACUUUAUCAAUAAUAGAUUUUUCUAAACAAACCUUGAGUCACCCAUCCAACAAGACGGAAAGCCUUGAGCAAUGAAACUACUUGGGCCGGGGAUGAUCCCCUACAAGUGUAGACCGCCGAAUCAAAAAAUCAUCACCAUAAUGUCGAAGAAAUAUUCCAACAACACAGAAAAUCAAACCAAAUAAAGCAACAAGAGACAAUAGCAUGAACUCAUCAGAUUCGAAUAAUUGGCUCUGCGAGGACACAAUCCUCUCUGCCUUCAUGACAUCACCACAUAGAACCGAAGUCAUUUUAUUCGCAAAAAUACCACGAAGACUACUAGAUGUUUGUGAUUUUUUAAAAUGUUCACAAAUUAGAAAAAUGCUAACGAAUCAAAACUUUUCAUGAAUUUGGAUUUUUUUUCAUGAUAUUGCAAAAUGUUCAUGAAUUAAAAAUGGAAAGGAAAGUAAAAAAGGAAAAAUAAACAAGAAAAGUAGACAGAAAGAAAAACAUAAAAAACCGGAUAAACAUGUGAAAAGGGAAAAAAUAACCUACCCAAAACCGGGUAGAAGGUUCCAAAAUAGGGGGAAGAAGCUUCUUGAAAUAGCCCAUAACACAUCCCUACCCCCGCUAGUGUGCUGGGCAUGGAGAAGCAUGUCAAUUAGCGAACACUACUUUAUCAGCGAUACCUAGUAAUUGCAGCCUUCAGGUAAAAGGUUUUCUUUCUUGGAAAGCAAUCUCGCAAUCGCCGCCAAAGACCUUCGCUCCAACCUCGUCCUCCGACGGCUUCCCUCUGCCGAUGACCUCGGUCAUCGGUGGUGACGGGGGUCAUCGGAUCCAUGUGUGUGGAUCAUUUUAGUCAUUAGUAGCUUAGCUUUUCGGUUGUUCAUCGUCUUGGUUUUUCCCAUGGCGACGCUGAAUAAAGAAUCUUCAAAUCUUUUUUGACGAGGUGAUCCGGCCUUUGUUUGGGGAUGAAUUUAGAAAUCAGUUUGUUCAAGCCAGGAUGACAUGGCGGCAGCAACCUCGUGGUUGACCUGUGUCCUCGGCUCCGCCAUUGCGAAGGUGUUUGCUCCAGCGCCAGCAUGGAGCUUGGGAGGUAGUCCAGGAGUGGGUGCAGAUUGUGGUCCACAUCGAUGGCAUCUGAAAGAUGGUGAAUCAUGUGCUGGGCUCGUGGUUCAUGGCAUGUAGGUACGGUUUCCACUUCUGACUUCUUAGUUGUGCGGGGUUGCCAAAUCUGGAGUUUAAUGGCAUGUCGAGGGUGUUGCCCUGGUCUGAUUCGUUCAACGGUAAUGACCUCGCCUUUGGUGAGCCACCUUGGAGGUCCGCAAAGCUACAUAUCAUUGAUGGAGCCGGGUCGAGCUGGGGUGAGAAGGUGAUCCAUCAAUUUUUCCCUUUGGUGUUUGCUAUGGUGGUGCUAGAGGUGGAUGAAGGACGUUGGUGUUAAGCGCAGGGGUUUCUUCAGUCAUGAUUGUAAUUUUCUUUUUUGACUGGUGUUAAGUUGUGUAAAGGCUAGCAUCCUGCUGCCUGUGUAGUUUUGCCAGGUUGGUGUGUACAUGACUUGUACUAUGUUCUUUAUGAUAUAAAUGUGACAUGUAUUACCAUGCAAAAAAAGAGGCAAUUGCAACCCUCAUGACCCAAAGUUAGAAUCCUAGAGCUUUUGUCUAAUAAAAUACCACCUAGAGAUGCGCGUGCACAAAGACUUCUCCACUCUCAUCCACGAGAUUAGGUCGACUACGAUAUGGGGACAACAAUAGUGAUGUGUUGGCGGCUCCUUCUAGUGUGGAAGUUAUAUACUUCUGUCGAGAAUGUAUCCUGUGCACCAAACCAAUUUAUGCACCCAAUGCACCGGUGGAUUCUGGGCCCUUAGAUGAAAAGGAAACGGGCUAGAUUCUGGUCAAAAGUUGGACUAUGACUUUUUUGCGGAGACAACCUUGUACUUUGUAGAAAUUAACCCACACUCCACGGCCACAUUCCCAUCAGAAAUAUGCAUGUUUAUUUUUUUGGCCCAAACAAAAAAUGAUUCAUAUAUCUUGAACUGAUUGUUUGAUUUCAGAUCUGUUUUGACUGUCAUUUUUUUCUUGACGAGAAAUUCGAAAUAAGAUCAAUACCGAAUAUGUUUCCAACAAAUACUAUCUUUUGCUUUUUUGAAACUUGACUCAAAACUUGAUGUACCAGAAGGAUGUUGCACGCGAGACCCACGUGUGGGAGAGGCGGAUGUUUCUCAUAGAAAAAUUACAAAACUUGUAAAAAAUCAGUCCAAUUUCGAGUUAAGGUCCAAAAGGCAAAAAUAUGAAUUUUAAAAAAUAUACCUAAUAUUAAUCUUGAUUCAAAGAUCUCGUCAAAACAAAAGAAGGCAGUCAAAACGUUCUCGAAAUCAGACAAUUUGUUUAAAUAUAUGAUCCUUUUUUUGUUUGAAGCAAAAAAAACACAUAGUUAUUUAGAGAAGAGGGAGAUGUGGGUCAAUUUUCAUAAAAUAAAAGGACUGUCUUGCAAUGUUUCAACAAUCCACCUACCAACCUGAUCAUAUCCCUUUGUCUUUCAUCCAAUGGCUCAUAUAGCAACGGAGCAUUCGGUGCAUGAAUUGAGUUGGUGCACCUGAUACGCUCUUAACCAAUGUCAACUUCCUAUCCCUAGGGGAAAAUAUCUGGUACUCCCACCCCUAGCGUGCUCCCGGUGCUCCAAAACUCGGUAGCACAUUUUUAAGUGUUCAAAAAAAUCUGAAAAAAAUCUAGCACAUUGACACAACAUCAAAGUAUGUUGUCAAAAAAUAUGAAACCAAAAUUCGAAACAUAGCUUGAAAAACACAAAUGACAAAUUCGACAGUAAAUAGUACACAACAUAAGUUGGACUUUAGAUUAGGCCCAUUAUCACAUUGAUGUCCAUUUUGUCAUUUUUGUAUCUCAAACAAUGUUUUGAAUUUUGAUUUGAAUUUUUUUAACAACAUACAUUGAUGUUAUGUCAAUGUGCUAGAUUUUUUUAUAUUUUUUUGAACAUUUUAAAAUAUGCUACUGAGAUUGGAGCACCCUAGGGGUGGGAGUACAAGAUAUUUCCCCCUAUCCCUAGCAUUUACGUGCAUGUUAUUUGGUAAAUGAGAUAUUAAUAAUAAUUUAGUAUUGUCUUUGAUCCAAAAUAAGUGACGCAACUUUCAAUUAAGUUUAAUUCAACAUUAGUUUAAAGUUGCGACACUUAUUAUGGAUCGGAGGGAGUAAUAUAUAUAUACCAUAGCUUGGCACAGAACUAGUUAAGGCUUAAUAAACAUUUAAUGGUUAAAGCUAAUAAAAAAUAUGAAAUAAAUUGGGGAGCUCCACUAUAAUAUAAUAAAAUGAUCCAACGGUGUGAUCGUAAAAAUAUGCAUUUAUGUGUCCUUGACGGAAAAAAAUAAGCAUUUCAACUGAUCAACAUAUACUAAACCAUUUGUUCUUUUUGUUCAGGACACAUCCAGUCAUAUUUUUUCAAUCCCUACGUUAGAUCAUGUUAUAUUAUAGAUGUGUUGGUUUAGUAGUUUUUUUUCAGGAGUUUUGAGAACUUUUACACCGUCGAAAAUCUUAACUAGUUCUGUGCUACACUAUUGUAAAAGAAAUCAGUGCUUCAAUAUUUCACUAUAAAGCGAACCAACUUUUAAUUGGAUGGUUAGGAGGACAGUGGUAUCUCCAGCCCAUCAGAGUUCAAGUACUGGUGCUCACAUUUAUCCUGUAUUUAUUUCAGAAAUUUUGGCGAUGCACGUUCAGUGAGAGACGUUUCCGUCAACAAUAUGUCGGCUCAGUCUCUCGAGUGUGCUUAUCUAUAUCUAUAUCUAUACUACUAUAUAGUGUAUGAGUAUUGAAGCAUAUAGGCCGUUGGAUCUUUCCUAUCGGACGGCUGAGAAUCAGCGUGCUGAAAUCUUGAGCAACGUGGCAGUGUAACCACCACCGGAUUUUGUGAUCCAACGGCCAACGUCCAAGGGAUUCGCGGUGGGCCUUAGCGUUGUACCGUGCCCCCUUUUUAUUAAACCGUUGUACUGUGUCAGGUGGCAGGCUUUGAAAAUAAGAUAUAGAAAAUGAUUCAAAGAAUCGGGAGUCUUCUAGGAGUCUCGAACCAUGGCAAUGCAUGUAGGGCAGAGCCCGGAUAAAAAAGAGUGUGCUAAUAUUAGCACCUGAGAUAGACAAAAUGUUUUAGCUAUAAUAGAAUAUAAAAAGGAGGAAAUGGAGAAAAACACAUUUGCUGAGAGGAGGUGCGCACGGUUCCAAAAAGAAGGUGUGCAAAUUUAACAUGUCCGAAAGUAUAUCCUGAACAAAAAGUUCCGGGUGUACAUAUCGUUGCAAGCUUGAAAUACGAGAUAAUUAAUGUUGUGCAUGCAGAAAUAAAUAAGAAAUUAUAUGUCAAACAAAUAUAUGUUUUCUGCCGCUUCAAAAAUUGCAAUUUCUUAAUGAGGCCACUUGCAAAUCGUGAUGCUCUACAAAAAUGUAUACAUCGACCCAGCUUUGUAUUUAGUGCAUCUACCCGUCGUGGAUUGAUUGAGUAUAUAACAUUUUCUUUAUGCAAAUGUAUUUAUAAAAAGUAAUCAGUCAACAUAGAAAUAGUACCUCUUGCAUUUAGAAAAUAUAACUUGCUGUCCUACAAACCAUCACAAAGUGUUUGUGUUUCUCUAAAUUUUCUAUUGAUGUCGAGUUGUUUGUACAAUGAAACAUCCAAAGCAAAUAGAGGAUUAAAAGUAUAGUUUUGAAUAAAGUGUACUUCAUAUCUUGUAUUAAUGACAGUAAAAAAUGGAAUAAACUAUCUAUGUUAAGAGAAAAUAAUGAAAGAAUAGUAAAUAAAAAAUGAAGAAAGAAUAUUAUGGAUAAUAAAUAAACCUAGCAGGACAUGGAAUAAACCCAUGCAAGAAUUCCGUAGGAAAUAUCGCCAUCUAUAUGUUAAGAAAGAAAAAAAAACAUACCUUUUGACCGAAUUAAAGGUUCAGUGAGUAGCUAGAUAAGUCAUAACUUAGUUUUGCCGCACAAUACACUUGAUAGUCAUUUAGGAAGGGACUAAGAUUUUGUUACCACCCCCAUAUAUGUCACAUCUGUCUUUGAUGGUAUAAUUUUAACUUUUAAGUGAUUAAUUGUAGUGAAAUGAUGUAAACAUUCGGAGCUAAGUUAUUUAUGCAAUCUUGACAAUCGUUGGUUGUACAUGCGAAGGAUGUGCCAUUUGCUAUUAGGGGCUUCUUUGGAUCACAGGAUUAGAAAACAAAGGAAUUCAAAAAACACAGAAAUUUGACGGGAUUGUAGGUGCAAAACAAAGGAUUACAAAAUAGAGGAAAACUACAAGAAUGGUCAUUUGGAUGGAACACAGGAAAAACACAGGAAAAGUGCCUCGAUCCUACGCGAAUCAGUGUAAAAAAGAGGUUAUAGUGGAUGUUGAAAUUCCUAUAGGAUUGAGGUGUAGGAAUGCAUCCAUAGGAAUUUUGGAGGUGUGGUUCCUUUGAUCCAAAGGGCUUUUUUAGGAAAAAAAUCCAAUGGAUUGGAAUCCUCCAAUAUUCCUAUGAAAAUCCUUCAAUCCAAAGAGGCCCUAGAAGUAGGGUGUGACUGUGUGUUCAUAGAGGUGAGUGUACAAUGUUCUUAAAAAAACAUUUCACUACGAAGAAAACAUCAACUGCAUGGCAGGUCAAUCAUAUCCUAUAAUUUCUUUGAUGAGAAAUGGGCAAAUCCUAACUGACACUUCUUCUGCCAAAAUGCUGCCAGCAUUUCGCACAGGUAGCUCACGUACGAUUUGUUUUGGGCCGGCCCAUUUAGAGAGCAAACGGUACUAUGCCGGUUUGGUUUCUCCAAAAAAAACAUAAUACCGAUUUGGGGACAUUUCCAGACCCGUUUUGGGAACCUUCUUGGAUGUUUCGGUCUAGCAUUAUUUUUCUCUAUUUUUAUACCAUUUUGUUCUAUUUUUUCUUUUUCCCAGUUUUCUUAACAAAUGUUUGGACUUUUAAGAAAAAAAUCAUGUUUUAAUAAAUUUUAAAAUUUCUGAAAAAAUAUAUGAAAAUUUUAAAGAAUGUUCACAAAUUUUGAUAAAAUGGUCACAAAACAUUGAGAAAACGAAAAAACUAACGCCCACACGUGUGGCAUCUUACACAUCGCCCACACGUCUCCUUUACCACUCAUUUUGCCACAUGUGAACAAAUGACAUCAGCAGAAUUUUUUUGGGUUUUCGGCUUAAAAAUAUUUUAUCUCCUAAUUAAAAAUCAAAUUAAAAAUUCGUUUUCAUCAUUAAAUCGGUCUCGACGAGAUCUUCAAAACUAGACCCCAUAUUGAUAUGUUUCGACAAUUGUUUUUUACUCAAAAGUUGUUAUGAUGUUUACACUGUAGUUGCCAUAAUGCUUAAAUUAAAGUCAAUUUUAGUUUGUAGAGUAUGGCAAUUUUAGUGUUUUGAUGAUGGCAACUCCAGUACUUUGACCACUAAAAUUAUUUUGUGUAUGAACCAUGGCAACUUUAAGUGCAUGUAUCAUGGCAAUUUUAGUUUAUGGUUCAUGGCAAGUCUAUUUUCUUAAUUUUUCGUUUUAUAAAUGUCAAAAUUUACUUUUAAAUGUAGAAGAAAAUAGUUGUAACAUAUCAUGACAACUUUAGUACGAACAUCAUGAUAAUUCAUGUGCAUGUAUGCGGUGACGUGGCACAGUCUGUGUGUUAUAGGGCGUGUGGGCGGAUUCCGCUUCGACCACACGUGUGGAUGUUAGCAUUGUCCAAAAAAAUCACGUUUUGUAGUGGAUUCCAAAAGAUGCCAACCGUUUGGUAAUCUACUACUCUCGAGCUGUUGAACAUAUGCAAUGUUUUUCUUUUUCUUUUCUUUUUGCGCCGAAUCUAGCACGGACUCCUACCGUAUCGUGCGCAAUAGCCUGAAGAAAGAUAGGGUCACGUGGAUUUCCCUAUUCUUGCAUUCUGACGUCGCAGCAGAUUGCAUAUUUAUCAAUUUUCUUAUUAAAUACACCUAUCCAUCUGGUACGUUUGCAAGCUUCUAUCUACUACGAAUCUUGGACUUCCAAAGUCUAUAAAUACUUCAUAUCCUCUCUGACAUAACAAUUCUUGCUUCAUAGCAAACCAAGUGGGGAAAGAAAAGUAUACCUGAAACUUCGCCCAACGCCACCGAUCAUGGGUGCAAGAAAUGCUAUCAUGUGCUUGGUGUUGAUUCUUGUAUUGUUCGCGGAUCAUGGCUCCGCAGGUUUCUGCUCCUCCCUCCGUCUCGGCGACAACCGACUACAGGUUCUUCAUCAUGGAUAUUCAUGUUCAUAAAUGCGUGUCAAUUCAUUGCAGGAUGCUGGGUGAAUAUCAAUGGCGGCCCACUCUGCAUAGGCUUUCUGUGCAAAGCGACUUGCUUGAUUGCGGAGAAGAUGUUUAAUUCCGUUCUCAAGGAGCACAGGUGCGAGGGGACACCGCUCAAUAGCGAAUGCAUGUGCUAUCUCUGCGACAAAUAGUCGGUUAACAUGGGGGCUGAAGAUAGCCUCGUGAUUACAAAGUGUCAAACAAAGGGAAUGAAUAAUUUCUACUUAGUAGAAACAAGUAUCCUCAAAUCCGAUGCAGUUUCCUGCAUUUUCAAAUGCCGCGUCAUCAAUAUGCAUGCAUACUCCAAGAUUUCUCUGCAAAACAACAACAGGCAUGUGGAUGUCAUGUCAAUCGAUGUACUUUCAUGGACGAAAAGGCAGCUUCCUUCCUCACUGCACUUGAGCUUGUUUCACGGGGAUCAUGUUUUUCCCUGUCAAGAGUUAUAGGUAGUCGGCAACAGAACUACUCCCUCCGUUUCAAAAUACUUGUCAUCAAAAUGAAUAAAAAUGAAUGUAUCUAAAACUAAAAUAUAUCUAGAUAUUACAGACUUUCAAGAAAUUCACACAUUAAUUAGAGUAAAUCAAAACAUAUGAGCCGUUUAUGUGGUGGGGCCGACUUAUUACUGUCUAGAUUAACCAAUCUAAUCAGAAAAAAAAUAUCAGCCAUUUAUCUUGCGGGAACAAAUUAUUAUGGUCUAAUAUUUUCCCUCUUCAUAGGAAGCCUAAACAGCAACGACCAUCUCAAUCUAUCUUUCUGUCAAAAAAAAAACAUCAAAAAAAGAAUCUGUCGACUCUCUCCCCCUGUACGUGAAGACCAUAUCUAUCGACUCUCUCUCUCAAACGAAGGCAAGCUAAUUUGGGCAUGGAUCUCGUUUUCUCAAGAAUUUUAUUGAAUCAAAAUUAUUUUUUCUGGAUCACAUUUGUAUUCUCGGACUAUGUGUUCUUGAUGUCUUUUCUUGCCGCUUUACACUUGAAUCCACCACAACUUUCUCCUUUGGAUUCCAGUUUAAUUUUUUGGGUGCUCUUGAGGUAUUGAAUGCCGCCGAAGGUCUCGAAGAGCAAGACUAGCUACUUCGGGGCGCGGGUGAAGCCGUCUGGGACUUCGAUGCUGAGUUCCAGUGCGACGUGGCUGCACGUGGGCACGGCGUCGCCACUUGGCGUUUGAGGAGGAGGAGGAGAGGAGAAGGACAAGAAGGACAAGGAGGAGGAGAAGCGGAAGCAGAAGAAGGAGAAGCAGAAGGAGAAGGAGGAGGAGGAGGAGGAGGAGGAGGAGGAGGAGGAGGAGGAGGAGAAGAAGAAGAGUCUGGCGAAAGUGACAAAGCGGCAUUGGCGGGGUUCACGCGGGAGCAUCCAGAGUAUGUCCAGGCCAAGCAGGAGUCCCAUUGGAAGCGUGACGCCGAGCAGACGAAGAAGAAGAAGACGGUGAAGAAGGAGGAUGAGGUCGGCCCCUCGACUAUGAUCCCAUCGAGUUUGACUCGUCGGGCUAGGAUGACUCUGAGGAGGAGGAGUUUGAGACGCUCGACGACUCCGACGACCCUAUCAAAGAGGAAUUCUGGGAGCGGCUAGAAAACGACAAUGACUAGUUUUAUGUAUUAUGUAGUUCAAGUAGACUCGGAGGAGUAGUAGCUUGGUGUGAUGUAGCAGUUUGAACUGUGUUUUUGUUUUGUUUUAUGAACUAUGCUUGCUUGAAAUGAACUUGGUAUGUUUGAAUUUAUGUUUGAAAUGCUGAAGUAGUUCAACUUGUUUUACAUCAUCUAUUGGAGCGCUAGUUUACAUCAUCUGUUGGAGUUGAUCUAUUUUUAGUGAUGUAAAAAACACUUUUUGGUGAUGUAUACUCCCUCCGUCCGGAAAUACUUGUCGGAGACAUGGAUAAAAACUAAUGUAUCUAAAACUAAAAUACGUCUAGAUACAUCCAUCUCACCGACAAGUAUUUUCGGACGGAGGGAGUAUUUUACACCCACCACUUUUUGGUUUAUGAAAUACAUCAUCUAUUGAAGAUGCUCUUAGUUGCAAUUGUUGACGGGUAAAUUUGAGAGCAAACGAAUGGGAUCGCCCUGUCAAUUAUUGUUGACCGCUAAUUGCGGCCCUAUCAUGAAUCUUCAGAGUAAAUUGUAAGAAGAUGCUUUCAACAAAAAAUUGUAAAAAGAAACAUUUAUUGGUAUUGUAGAAAGAAACGAACCAAGGGAACAGGUGUUAUGUAUUUCGCUUGAUGUAGAGGCUGGGGUUAUUCACCCUUUCUGAAAAAGGGAACCAGGUUACUCAUUAGGGCAUCUAUAGUUGGACUCAACCAAUUCGAACCUGCGGGCGUGUCUAGACAUGUCCGCGGACAGUGGCGGCCCGACUCUCAUUUGUUCGCCAUUCUAAUCACAACCUUUAUUUGCAAACUCUCAAAUCCAUACUAAUCACGCAACGUUCAUUUUAUCAUACAUAGUACAUGUUUACAUGGAACAAACAAAUUGCCUUGAUCUAUUUGUCAUCAUAAGAGAUGUUGAUGACCCCUGGCCAUAUGGACCAACCUCGUUGUAAGGGCAUAUUUAUCCCCAAGGUGUUUUGGUGAUUGAUGACAAUGCGUUUGCGGACUAAUCGUGUGCCUUGAGUAUUCCAGAAAUUUCAUCGCUAGGCACAAUACGGUUGGGUGCCCCUCGAAGACUGUUGAACACGGCGUCUUUUCUACGUUUCUUUUUGGUGGAUUUGAGUCGUGGGAAAGCCGUACUAUUAAAAGGGGGUCCGCGUCGGAAAGGUUUGGGUUGAAUCAUCACGUACACGUCUCCUUCUUGUCCCCUCCUUUUCCCUUGGAGAUUCCUCCGCUUUCUCGCCUCACUGGUUCUGGCUGCUGAGUUGGGCCGCAGUAGUACUGCUCCCAGGAGAGCGGUAGUACCGUAGGCACCAGCGGUAGUACCGUGCGGUGGUGCGGUAGUACCGCAGGUGCCCACAGUAGUACCGCUCCCCUGGAGCUGCACUACCGCUGCCCACCAGGCUAGUACCGCUCCUUCGCGGUAGUAGGGGCGGAUAUAAUUUUUACACCGCACCUACCGCAGUAGUAUCGCUUUCGCUCCGCGGUAGUACCGUGCUAUGUUGUCAGGCAGUAGUACCGCCCCUCGGCAGUACUACUGUGUCGGGUUUUUGCUUCUUCCAUUUCUUUGUAGAAGUAGGCACGGAUGUUUCCUCCCCCCUGGCUAGGGGAUUUCUGCCUCGCGGUAGUACUGCAUGGAGGCGCGGUAGUACCGCGCUCGCGGAAAUACUGCCCUCAGCUCCUGCGCGUCAGAUCUGACCUUGCUGUUGCUGGGGUUGCGGCAGUACCGCGGGCCUGUAUAGUAGUACCGCGAGGCCCUGCGGUAGUACCGCUGGCCCGGGCUGGUAGGUGGGUAACGGUUGGAUCUUUGUCCUACACUAUAUAAGGGGUCCCCUUCUUCCUCGUUGACUCAUCUCUUCCAACCCUAAGCUCCAUUAUUGCUCUAAACUCCAUUUUCGCCCGAUCUCACUCCCUAGCCAAUCAAAAUUGUUGAUUUGUUCGGGAGUGGUUGAGAAGGCCUCAGUCCACACUUCCACCAAGAGAAAUUUGAUUCCCCCCACUAAUCCCUUGCGGAUCUUGUUACUCAUGGGUGUUUGAGCAUCCUAGAUGGUUGAGGUUGUUGGGGAACGUAGUAAUUUCAAAAAAAAUUCUACGCACACGCAAGAUCAUGGUGAUGCAUAGCAACGAGAGGGGAGAGUGUUGUCUACGUACCCUCGUAGACCGGAAGCGGAAGCGUUAGCACAACGCGGUUGAUGUAGUCGUACGUCUUCACGGCCCGACCGAUCAAGCACCGAAACUACGGCACCUCCGAGUUCUAGCACACGUUCAGCUCGAUGACGAUCCCCGGACUCCGAUCCAGCAGAAUGUCGGGGAAGAGUUCCGUCAGCACGACGGCGUGGUGACGAUCUUGAUGUUCUACCGUCGCAGGGCUUCGCCUAAGCACCGCUACAAUAUUAUCGAGGAUUAUGCUGGAGGAGGGCACCGCACACGGCUAAUAGAUCUCAAAGAUCAAUUGUUGUGUCUUUGGGGUGCCCCCCUGCACCCGUAUAUAAAGGAGCAAGGGAGAGGGGCGGCCGGCCAGGAGGAGGCGCGCCAGGGAGGAGUCCUACUCCUACCGGGAGUAGGACUCCCUCCUUUCCUUGUCCAACUAGGAGAGGGGGAAGGAAGGGAGAGAGGAGAGAAAGGAAAGGGGGGGGGGGCGCCGCCCCUUCCUCCUUGUCCAAUUCGGACUAAAGGGGGAGGGGGCGCGCAGCCUGCCCUGGCCGCCCCUCCUCUACUCCACUUUGGGCCCAUGAGGCCCAUUAACCCCCGGGGGGGUUCCGGUAACCCCCGAUACUCCGUUUUAUAUCCGAUAACUCCCGGAACCAUUCCUGUGUCCGAAUAUAGUCGUCCAAUAUAUCAAUCUUUAUGUCUCGACUAUUUCGAGACUCCUCGUUAUGUCCGUGAUCACAUCCGGAACUCCGAACAACCUUUGGUACAUCAAAAAAAUAUAAACUCAUAAUGAAACUGUCAUCGUAACGUUAAGCGUGCGGACCCUACGGGUUCGAGAACAAUGUAGACAUGACUGAGACACGUCUCCGGUCAAUGACCAAUAGCGGAACCUGGAUGCUCAUAUUGGUUCCUAGAUAUUCUACGAAGAUCUUUUAUUGGUCAGACCGCAUAACAACAUAUGUUGUUCCCUUUGUCAUCGGUAUGUUACUUGCCCGAGAUUUGAUCGUCGGUAUCUCAAUACCUAGUUCAAUCUCGUUACCAGCAAGUCUCUUUACUCGUUCCGUAAUACAUCAUCCCGCAACUAACUUAUUAGUUGCAAUGCUUGCAAGGCUUAUGUGAUGUGCAUUACCGAGAGGGCCCAGAGAUACCUCUCCGACAAUCAGAGUGACAAAUCCUAAUCUCGAAAUAUGCCAACCCAACAAGUACCUUCGGAGACACCUGUAGAGCACCUUUAUAAUCACCCAGUUACGUUGUGACGUUUGGUAGCACACAAAGUGUUCCUCCGGUAAACGGGAGUUGCAUAAUCUCAUAGUCAUAGGAACAUGUAUAAGUCAUGAAGAAAGCAAUAGCAACAAACUAAAUGAUCAAGUGCUAAGCUAACAAAAUGGGUCAAGUCAAUCACAUCAUUCUCCUAAUGAUGUGAUCCCGUUAAUCAAAUGACAACUCAUGUCUAUGGUUAGGAAACAUAACCAUAUUUGAUCAACGAGCUAGUCAAGUAGAGGCAUACUAGUGACACUAUGUUUGUCUAUGUAUUCACACAUGUAUUAUGUUUCCGGUUAAUACAAGUCUAGCAUGAAUAAUAAACAUUUAUCAUGAUAUAAGGAAAUAAAUAAUAACUUUAUUAUUGCCUCUAGGGCAUAUUUCCUUCAGUCUCCCACUUGCACUAGAGUCAAUAAUCUAGAUUACACAGUAAUGAUUCUAACACCCAUGGAGCCUUGGUGUUGAUCAUGUUUUGCUCGUGGAAGAGGCUUAGUCAGCGGGUGUGCAACAUUCAGAUCCGUAUGUAUCUUGCAAAUUUCUAUGUCUCCCACUUGGACUAAAUCCCGAAUGGAAUUGAAGCGUCUCUUGAUGUGCUUGGUUCUCUUGUGAAAUCUGGAUUCCUUUGCCAAGGCAAUUGCACCAGUAUUGUCACAAAAGAUUUUCAUUGGACCCGAUGCACUAGGUAUGACACCUAGAUCGGAUAUGAACUCCUUCAUCCAGACUCCUUCAUUUGUUGCUUCCGAAGCAGCUAUGUACUCUGCUUCACAUGUAGAUCCCGCCACGACGCUUUGUUUAGAACUGCACCAACUGACAGCUCCACCGUUCAGUAAAAACACGUAUCCGGUUUGCGAUUUAGAAUCGUCCGGAUCAGUGUCAAAGCUUGCAUCAACGUAACCAUUUACGAUGAGCUCUUUGUCACCUCCAUAUACGAGAAACAUAUCCUUAGUCCUUUUCAGGUAUUUCAGGAUGUUCUUGACCGCUGUCCAGUGAUCCACUCCUGGAUUACUUUGGUACCUCCCUGCUAGACUUAUAGCAAGGCACACAUCAGGUCUGGUACACAACAUUGCAUACAUGAUAGAGCCUAUGGCUGAAGCAUAGGGAACAUCUUUCAUUUUCUCUCUAUCUUCUGUGGUGGUCGGACAUUGAGUCUUACUCAACUUCACACCUUGUAACACAGGCAAGAACCCUUUCUUUGCUUGAUCCAUUUUGAACUUCUUCAAAA